rnacentral:lncRNA from 1 species
GAAGAGGAUGUAAAUGCCACGGCACUGAUUGCACAGGAUUCAACUUUCAUGUGUUUAGCAUCUGCUGACUCGAUCUCUAUGACAUCUAUACAAGAGAAGUCAUCUUCGGAGAACUCAUCAGAUGAAGAAUCGGACGAAGAUGACAUGGUCGCAGCAUACCAACAAUUGGUUGUUGAAUCAAAGAAGAUGGCUAAACAUAACAAGAGACUGCGGCGAAGUCUACAUGAGUUGGAACAAGAAAAUUCAAAAUUGGCCUCACUAACAAAGGAUUUAGAACAAGAGAGAGAUGGUUUGACAAAGGCCUACAAUUCCUUGAUCGAGAAGUGUUCAUUACUUGAAAAGGAAAAAGAGACUCAAGUGGAGAAUAUCACUUUUCUCACCAAGCAAUACUCAGAAGCUAGAGAAGAAAAUAUGGAAUUCACCAAGACGAUUAUUCAACUAAAGUCAGAUUUGAACCAAUUUUCGUCUGGAUCAAGUAAACUCGACAAGAUGCUUGGACUUGGUCAAACAAACAAACUUGGACUUGGGUACGAACGGACCUAUGUUGACCAAGCGACAAAGAAAGAUGGCGGACAUUCAUCAACUGCUGUUCCUAAGCUCUAUGGUAAGUUCGUCUCUCCUCAAAACAAUCUGACUAACAAAACUUGUCAUAUUUGUGGUGCUUUAGAACACAUAAAGAAAUUCUGCAAACAAAAGGGAAAGAGCGCAUCAACACCCUUGAAUCAAAGAACAUCAUUCAUGAAGAAUAAUCAUAUAUCUAAAGGGAAGUCAACUUGGACUCCAAAGAAGGUUGAUCACAAGAAAAAACAAGCAUGGAAACCAAAAAGGAGGAGAUGAAGAAGAAGUCAAUUCAAAUCGUCGACAAGCCACGAUCAACAAAAGCAAGCGAACUGACACAACCCAAAACACGUAAGGUUUGGGUGCGCAAAGGUGAACUCUUCCCAUGCCUAGUCAUUCACACUUCGCUUCAUGCUUACGAUAAUACAUCAUGGUAUCUGGAUAGUGGUUGUUCCCGUCACAUGACCGGAGAUAAAAAUUGGUUUACUUCUUUGAACAAAAUCUCCGGAGGACUUGUUGUUUUUGGGGACGGUCGAUCGUCAAAAAUUGUUGGAAAAGGAACAGUGACUAUCUCAGAUGGCCCUACGUUGAACGAUGUUUUUUAUGUUGAGGGGCUCAAAUCUAAUCUCGUAAGCAUAAGCCAACUGUGUGAUAAUGGGUAUUCUGUAAAUUUUUCUGAUAAAGAAUGCCAUGUGACUCGUGAUGACAAUCUGUUCUUAAAGGGCAUUAGAUCUCAGAACAAUUGUUAUGUAGUUCCUAGUUCUUCCACUGAACAUUGUAACCUAGCGUCAUUAGAAACUGAAACUUUAUGGCAUGAACGACUAGGUUACAUAAACUUUAAGGAGCUAUCAAAGAUAACCAAGAAGGAGGUAGUUAGAGGUGUACCUAAGAUUGAUUUUAAAGAGAACACUGUGUGUGGGGGUUGCCAAUUGGGGAAACAAACUAGAUCCACACAUAAGAACUUGAACCACUUAGGGACAACUAAGCCUUUAGAGUUACUUCACAUGGACUUGAUGGGACCAUCUAGGAUUCAAAGUUUGGGUGAAAAACGUUAUAUCUUGCUUAUUGUUGAUGAUUUUACUCGCUUUGUAUGGAGUGCCUUCUUACGAGAAAAAGCUGAUACUUUUGAUUCUUUUUCUGAAAUCUGUCUUCGUCUUAUGACUGAACGGAAUGAUAAAAUUGUACGUAUUCGAAGUGAUCAAGGGGGAGAAUUCAUAAAUUCAAAAUUUGUUGAUUUUUGUGUUUCAAAUGGGAUUAAACAUGAAUUCUCGGCUCCUUAUACACCCCAACAAAACGGAGUAGUUGAACGCAAGAAUCGGGUUGUACAGGAGAUGGCUCGUGUUAUGCUUCAUAGUAAGAAAAUCGCUCUACACUUUUGGGCCGAAGCAGUUAACACAGCUGUCUAUGUUAUAAAUCGGAUUUAUGUGCGUCCGGGUACUUUGAAUACGCCUUAUGAACUUUGGCUUGGUAGGAAAUCUAACAUUAAAUACUUUCAUGUCUUCGGGAGUAAAUGUUUUAUCCUUCGGGAUCGUGAAAAUCUUGGAAAAUUUGACUCUCGAAGUGACGAAGGCAUAUUUCUUGGUUAUUCUACUACGAGUCGUGCUUAUCGUGCGUACAAUUUACGAUCUAAGACGGUGAUAAAAUCUAUCAAUAUAAAAGUAGAUGAAGCUUCGUCUGUAAGUUCUUCUGUGAAUGGUUCCUCUAACUCUUUGAUGAAUGAUGAUGAUAAUGAUUCUCCGUUUGUAUUGCCUGUGAAUGAUGAUGUUUCUACACUUGAUAAUUCCAUUGCAUCUUCUGAAAAUAUUGCAUCAAAUGAUUCAUCUGAGCCACAAAUCACCACAUCUGAAAUCCUUAGCAUAUCUCCUGAGACUACACCCCUGACAGAGUCAAGAGAUCAUCCUUUAUCAAAUGUGAUUGGGGAUCCUAAUGUUGGUGUGCGAAUAAGAAGUCAGUUACAAUGUGAAUUUGCAUGUUAUGUCUCCUUGAUCGAGCCAAAGAAUGUCGACGAAGCACUUUGUGAUGAAUAUUGGAUAAAUGCCAUGCAAGAAGAACUUGGUCAAUUUGUCCGCAAUGAUGUAUGGGAAUUGGUGCCCCGUCCUGAGCAACAACACAUAAUAGGUACAAAAUGGAUAUUUAAGAAUAAGAAAAAUGAGGAUGGUACUAUUGUUCGGAACAAAGCGAGACUUGUUGCUCAGGGGUAUUCACAAAUUGAGGGAAUAGAUUUUGACGAAACAUUUUCCCCGGUUGCCCGUCUUGAAUCUAUUCGUAUCUUGUUCGCGAUUGCUUGUCAUUUUAAAAUCACGCUUUUUCAAAUGGAUGUUAAAAGUGCGUUUCUGAAUAGAUUUUUAAAAGAGGAAGUUUAUGUUGAACAACCGAAAGGUUUCAUAGACUCAAAAUUUUCAAAUCACGUUUUUCGACUGAAAAAGGCACUUUAUGGACUAAAACAGGCUCCGCGCGCAUGGUACGAACGCUUGACAAAAUAUCUUCUGAAAAAGGGCUACAACCGAGGGGGAGCAGAUAGAACUCUCUUUGUAAAACACUUGAAGGAUAAUUUCAUUGUGGCACAAAUCUAUGUGGAUGACAUAGUUUUUGGGGCUACUAAAGAUAAGGAUGCCGCUGAUUUUGCAAAGUUAAUGACCAGCGAGUUUGAGAUGUCGAUGAUGGGGGAGCUUAAUUAUUUCCUUGGACUUCAAGUUAAACAAUCAAAAGAUGGAAUUCAUUUGUCUCAGACCAAGUAUGCAAAGGAACUGGUUAAGAAAUUUGGAUUGGACAAUGCAAAGGAUUUUGACACUCCAAUGGGUACAAGCAACAAAGGACUGGGAUUGAAUUCAGAAGGUCAGAGUAUGGAUGAAAAACAAUACAGAAGCAUGAUUGGUAGCCUAUUGUACUUGACUGCGAGCAGACCAGAUAUUGCGUUUAGUGUUGGAAUUUGUGCUCGUUAUCAGGCUAACUCUAAAGAAGUACAUCUGAAAGCAGUUAAAAGGAUCAUUCGGUAUGUUAAAGGAACAACCAAGUAUGGCCUCUGGUAUCCUAUGGGAACAUCUCUUGAUCUAAUCGGCUACUCAGAUGCUGACUGGGCAAGCUCCGCAGAUGAUCGGAAAAGUACUAGUGGAGCUUGUUUUUACAUUGGCUACUGUUUGGUUGCUUGGCACAGUAAGAAACAAAAUUGUAUUGCACUUUCCACUGCAGAAGCUGAAUACAUUGCGGCAGGAAGUUGCUCUACUCAAUUGAUCUGGAUGAAGAGCUUACUAAGCGACAAUCGGAUCCCUUCCACCACUCUUACCAUUCUGUGUGACAACACAAGUGCAAUUAAUAUUUCUAAAAACCCUGUUUUACAUUCGCGAACAAAACAUAUUGAACUAAGAUAUCACUUUUUAAGAGAACUGGUUGAAUCAAACGUUUUACAACUUGAAUACAUUUCAACUGAAAAUCAACUUGCAGAUAUUUUAACCAAACCUUUGGAUCAAAAGCGUUUUCUACAUUUAAGAAAGGCAAUUGGUAUGAAUCCUUCAAUCUAGAUAUAUUCUAUUGAGCCAUAGAUCAUGUGCAUGUUGCAUUUUUACUUGCAUAAUUUCCGGUGUUUGAGAUUGACUUUCGUGAAUAAUUUGGGCGAUGAAUUGGUCUGUGACUUGAAUUAUUUCAUAUUUAAUUUUUGAUUGAUCACUGUCAGGGUUGUUCUCUAUUGGCAUAUUUUUGAACGAUCAAAUCAUUGAAAUUCUACUUAGCAUAUUGAAUCAAAUUCAGCUCCUCAUGCUUCGAACUUUGAAUGUUGCAAUUGUUUUGUUUGAUUAUUAGUUUUGAGAUGAAUAACACUUUCUCUAUUUUUUUGAAAUUACAAUAAUGUUUUUGACUUGAGGGUUGCGCUAAUUUAGGGGGAGUCUUUCCAAUUUCGGCUAUAAAACUUCUGAAAUUCAAGAUGUGGAAAGAGUUACAUCCCGGCUGGGAGUGUGAAAACUACCACCACAUGGAGGAAAGAGCUACCACCCCGGUCGUCUGGUCAGUGUGUGCAGCUACCACAUGUUGAUUAAAAUAUCUCUGUAAGAGAAAAGGAAAGUACCUUUUAAAAAAAAUAUAUGCUCAAAGAGCUAUACAUCUUGUAGGUGAUAUAAGGUGGAAUGUUAAUAAAAAGAAGCUCAAAGAGCCACUCCUGUCUCGAAUAAUGUGCAUAACUCACUUUGAUCAUGUUAUGGUAAUUUCACGAUUUUUUUGAUAAUUAUUUAUUCAUUUUCUUUAACAAAAUAUGAUGGUAAAAUGAUACAAUAAAUUCCUAGAUCUUGCAUGAUGAGUAGAAUUUUAUUUUAUCUGUAUCUAGAAUUUUUCAUUGAUUGUCGGAUCAACAAUUCUGCCAAAUUGAAUAUCCUUGGAAUUGAUUUUUCAAAAUUUAUUUAUGAAAUUUUAUCUGAAGUUUUUGGAUGGAAGUUGGUUAUUUUUGUUGGCUAAACAUCGUAGAAUAAUAUAUAUUUUUCUGAAAUUUUUGGAGCUUAUUUUAAAUUUUCUUAAAAAUUCUAGUCUCUGGGACCGGUCCCAUGCAGGAGAGACCGGUCCCUCCGCCGAACCCGAUAAAGGGCCAUCGCACGAUCUGUUUUUUUUUUGUGCGCGAUUUUUUUUUUCUCCUGCUUUCCUCCUUGGCACUUCUCUUGUCUACAGAUCAGGGAUUCCUCUUGUUUCUCCUUGGAUUGCAUUGAUUUUAGGUAUGAUUUUCGGAUUUCGUUGCGUUUAUGUCAUAUUCUCCGAAAAUGUAUCUUGUUUCAGAUUUUUUGAUGAGGGUUCUAAAGAUCUUGCUACAAAUGCAUGCUUAUGCUUCGAUCUUGUUAUUAGAACUGUUGUUUUCAUAUUUUCUAGUAUUUCUUUACUUUUGGAACAAGUUUUGUAGGUUUUUCAUCAUCAAAACCUAGGUUUUCAAAGUUUUCCUGAAAAGAUUUGUUUUUGCUGAUUUAGUUGCAUGAUUAGUUCUUGUUUCUCAUGAUUAUGUGGCUCCUAGGAUUAUCUAGUAUUUAUAUAUCCAUUUGCUGAAUUUUUUUUUGGAAUUUUAAAAAAAAUUUUAGUGUUCUUAUGUUUCAUAUGUAAAUAUUUUUAUGUUUAACAGAGGAUUUCUUCAAAAUGUAUUCAUUGUUACUUGUGCUUGUGGUCUUGAUGGUCGGGGGUGGUCGUGGAAGCAAACGACAGCGCUCCAAAGCUAAACGGCCGAUUGAGUAUCAACCGGAAGAUGAAGAGAGCGAAUAUGCUCCAGGCAACGACUCUGAGGAGGACGAGCCGGAUUGGGAGGCUUUUGUUCCCGAGGUAUUAGCUAAGGAUAAGGAUACAGGGAAAGGCAAGGGACAAGGAAAAGCCGUGGAUAAAGGCAAAGGAAAGGCGACUGAACGUCCCGGUCGUCGCAAGUCCGGAGGUGUUGAAAUUCGAGAACCAGGUUCUGAGCCACCACGUCACAGUCUGCAGGAUAUUCCUUCUGCUCGACGGUCCAUGUACUCGUCGAAGCAUUGUAUUGGUGAACGCGAUGUUGGGGUUACCAGUAUCAUUAGCUGUGUGCCAGGUUUUCAGGAUUUAUUUGAACAGGGAAAUCUUCAUCAGAUUUGUGAUUUCCCGGAGCAAACCAGUUUUUGUUUGGAGUUGAUCAGAGAAUUUUACAUGAGAGCAGGUCACCUGAGUGACUUCGAUGGCGGCCCGUACGUAUUUCGGACUUCCGUACGUGGUGUUGAGUUAUCCAUCACUCCUGAUACGAUAGCGUCGGUGCUAGGUAUGGAAGCUAAAACUGAAGGAGUGGAGUAUCUACAAGCUGAGUUCGACUCACUUCGCGAUUGGAAUCGUGUAGUGCACACUAUUUGCAUGCCGGGUACUGAGUCAAACGGCAUUAUGGUUAUGUCCAAAGAUUUCAAAAUGGAGUACCGUUUUUUAAACUUUGUGAUUUGCUACAACAUUCUGCCUGUCGCAAACACGAAGAUUCUGAGAUGGAUCGUAUUCUGUAUAUGUAUCUCUUGGGAAGGCCAGGUAUUGUAAGUGCAAAAAAUAUUAACAUGAAUAUUCCGUUUCUGAUCUGGCGGAGGAUGGUAAAAGACAUCAAAACUUCUGGACAAAAUGAAAGGCUGCCAUUUCCAUUGAUAAUCAUGAGGAUUCUGUGACUUCAUGAUGUGGAUGUCCGGUGUACAUCUUAUGAGCAUAGUUUGGGUCGGAUAAAUAAAAGGACAUUUGUGAAGUCCUCGGUGCAGCUUCGUACACCGUCUCAGCGUGCUUCUUCCCCUCCUGCUGCUCCACCUCCUGCUACUGCUACUUCUUCACGUCCUUCUAUGGACAUUUCCGAGGAAGAUAUCUCAGUUUCUUCUGUGUAUCGUGAGCAGCAACGUCUAUCUGAGGAGCUUCAGAAAUUGUCUGCGGAGCAAGCUGCGAUUCAGAAGGAUGUGAGCAAGAUGAAGCGCUUAUUGAAUAUGAUUUUUGACAAGUUAGGGUGUUGCCGAGCAGAUUUACCUCCAGGGGAUGCGUCUGAUUACGAGUUGCCGGGUUCCUUCUUUUAUCAUUUUGGCGCUUUCUGACAAAAAGGGGGAGAUGGUGGUUCUUGAUGGUCUUGAUGAUGAUGAUCAUUUAGCUUAGAUGAUGCAUUUUGCUUAGUUAUGUUAUGCAUUUAGCUUAGCCUUGCUUAGUUAUGUUAGUUGUGUAAAUUUGACUUGUGCUUGACUAUGAACUUUGACUUGCUGAACUAUGACUUGAUACUUUAUUUAAGUUUGAUCUUGAUAAGUUUACUUGAAUCUUGAUUAUGUUUUAAGAAUGUUUUUGCAGGAAUAAUUCAAGACUUCAAGACUCCAUGUCUAAGUUAUAGAGUUUGUAUUAAGGUUGUAAAAGUGUAAAUUUCUUUUAUUGGAUCGAUCAUGCAGGAGAUUAUCGUUUGGUGAUUGCGAUGAUCUUCUUUUUAUUAUUUAUGAGUUGUGUAUGAACUUUGUAAUAUAUUUUGUCACGAAAUCGCCAAAGGGGGAGAUUGUUAAGGAUUUUAUAGGUUGGCGGAUUUCGUAAUGCUGAAUGGAGUCUUGAAGAGUUGAUUGCGGAAGAUUGAAAAAAAGAUCUAAAUUGAAGGAAAAAGACUCACUCGUAAAGUUCGGCACGUAAGGUAUGAAGAAAAGAUCAUUUGUGAUGAAGACAUUUGUUUAGAAUAAGUUCAGAAGGCUUAGAUUGCUUUAAAAAUACUUUAUUGAACUUUUCUGUGUUCAGGGACCGGUCCCUGAGGUCAAGGGACCGGUUCCCCUAAGGUCCUCACUGCUUGAACUUUGCUGCAACCGGUCCCCUGAGAUGAGAGACCGGUUUCCAAACCUUGGUAUUUCUGUCGCGCAGCGAGGGACCGGUCUCAAGCUUGAGAGACCGGUUCUCGAACGUUGUGAUUUUGGUCACGCAGCGAGGGACCGGUUCCUCACUUGAGAGACCGGUCUCUCACAGACCGGUCUCCUCGAGAAGACCGGUCUCUGAGGACGACACAGGUUUUUAAAAAGGACUUUUUGCAAUCCUAGUCUACUUCUAAGUCUUCUAAACAUAUAAAUAAGCUAUGUGGGUCAUCUAAAAGUUUAAGGCUUUGAAUAUUUACAGAUUCUAAACCCUAGAAACUUGUUUUUUUCCGUUUCAAUGCUUUGAUUCACAUAACGAGUUUCUAACAAUCAACAAUCGGCUUGAUUCUUCGUUUUUACUCGAUAACUCAUACGAGAAUCAAGUAGAUUUUUGAUUAAAGGUGAACCCUCAUAGCUUAUGGUAUUCAAAGGUUAAAUCAUCACAAAUCUUCGAUUCUACAAGCUCCGGAAGGAGGUUCGACGCGUGGAUCUCGCGUGAAGCCAAGGAUUCGGUGGACGCUUCGAGGAGUUGAGGCGUUGACGCUGCGAGGAGUUGCAGCAAGGUCGAUUGGUGGAUUCCUCUCGAUCGAGAACCGGCGAAGAUCACCAUCAACAAGAAAUCGGUAAAUUGAGUCGUGUAUUUUUGUCAAAAUCACUUGUACUCAAGUUUUCUUAGUGGAUUUUCUUCGCGUGAUCGGUCCCGUGGGUUUUUCACUCCGAAUUGGAGUUUUCCCACGUUAAAUUCUCGGUGUGUUGUUUUAUUUUCUGCUACUUUAUUUUAUUUGCAUCGAGAUUUUCGAGUUUGCCGUAUUUACACCUAUUCACCCCCUCUAGGUGUUACUUAUCUUUUAGAUCCUCGGGAUCCAUAUCUUACAUCCACCCCCAGAGUGACGGGCAGUCGGAGCGUACUAUUCAGACUCUCGAGGACAUGCUUCGAACCUGCGUGAUUGACUUCCAGGGAGGAUGGUCGCAGUAUCUACCGAUGGCAGAGUUUGCUUAUAACAACAAUUAUCAAGCAAGCAUCAAGAUGGCACCAUUCGAGGCACUCUAUGGACGGAAGUGUAGAUCGCCACUUCAUUGGAGUGAAGUUGGCGAGAGAUUGGCUUUAGGCCCAGAUGUGCUCCAGGAAGUAGAGGACAAGGUUCGCAUUGCUCGGGAGCGAUUGUUGACAGCCCAGAGUAGGCAGAGGAGUUAUGCUGAUCGGCGUCGACGACAUUUGGAAUUUCAGAUUGGAGACCAUGUGUUCUUGAAAGUCUCGCCGACCAAAGGAAUUAGACGAUUUGGAAUCCGGGGCAAGUUGAGCCCCCGAUUCAUUGGACCGUUUGAGGUUUUGGAGCGGGUAGGCCCGGUAGCGUAUAGACUUGCUCUACCGCCGAACCUAUCGGGUGUACACAACGUAUUCCACGUAUCGGUCCUUCGGAAGUACAUCCACGACCCAGCUCAUGUUUUGGACGCUACGCCUUUGGAGCUGAGGGAUGAUUUGAGCUUUGAAGAGCAACCCUUGAGGAUUUUGGCUCGCGAGGUAAAAAGAUUACGGAACCGAGAAAUUCCCUACGUGAAGGUGCUUUCGAGCAACCACGACGAGCGCGAGGCCACUUGGGAGAUGGAGAGCGCGCUGCGGGAGCGCUAUCCCCAUCUUUUUCAGAUGUAGGCUUGAGGUACUUGUCAUUUCGAGUUUCGCGGACGAAACUCCCUUUUAGGAGGGGUGAAUGUAGCACACUGGACCUUUGCAAAUUGCGACGUUCGAGUAUUUGGAUGUAUUUCGAGCUUUUCCACACUUGGUGGAGGGUUGUAGAAUAUUUUCUGACCUAAAAAGUUCGAAAACUAGAAUUCUGGACAAGUCCUGAGAGUUUUUACUCUCGGGGACCGGUCCCUGAAAGGAGAGACCGGUCCCCCAGUGAGCAGUGUUACGGCAGCCUUGAGGCAACCGGUCCCUGGCAAGCGAGACCGGUCCCCGAGCGCGCCUACGCAGUGAGAGACCGGUCCCGCACAGGGAGAGACCGGUUCCCGAACGUUGGUUUUUCGGGUUCGCAGCAAGAGACCGGUCCCUGCUGGGGAGAGACCGGUCCCUCUGGGCGAAAACUGCCCAGUUCGGGCUGAUGUAAAUUUGAGUUUUUGAGGGGCCUCUCCGGAUUUUGUUACACUAGAUGGGCUUAUUAGCCAUUUCCCUCUCUUCCCUCCUCAUUUCUCACCCUCACCCCACACCUUCUAGAGAGAGAAGAAGAAGAAGGAGGAGAAAAAGAAGAGGAGCUUGCUUGAGGGAGCUUGGAGCUCAACCCCUUUCUCUCUUUUCCACCCUUGCUUGGUUUGGAGCUUGCUUGUAGAGCUUGGUGGUGGACCAAUCUUCAACCCUAGAAGAUUUGGAGCUUGUUUGGAGGCAUCUUGGGAGGUUAGUACUUGGAUUCUACCCUUUGAUCCUUGAUUUGGUAGGUUUUACCAUAUGGAACCCUAGAAUGGAUAUUAGGGUUGAUUUUUGGGGCUUUUUGAUCUAGGGCUUUUGAGGCUAGAUUGAUUGGAUUAGAACCUUCCUUGGGCUUGGAUUGGAAGGGAUUUAGCUCUCUUUUGGAGCUUGAGAGAGAUUUUCCACACAUUAGGUGAGUUUUAGCCCUUUUGCCAAGUUUGUUAAAGUUUGAUCUUAUAGUUGAUCGUAAUGCCCGUGUAUCUCUUCGCUCAAUACUUUUAGGGUAUUUUGAGACUCGUGGACAACUCCGUUCGGCGAAUCGAAGGAGCACGCGACGGUUCGGUGGGUUUGACCUAGCCACACAAUGAGAAAAUCUCAUUGUUGACGAUUUAAGUGUUAUAAAAUGAAAAAGCAUGCAUAUUCUUGUUAUAUGUAUUUAUUGUGAAUUUUAGAAUGCUUAAAAUGCCUAUGUUGCAUAUAGUAAAAUUUUGGGCCUCUAUGUAGUAGAGAGCAUGCAUGUGUGAUAUAGCAUUCUGGUUGAGAUUUGAAACUAAGAUCCCUAUUAUGAAAAUGAACCUUGCUUUCAUGCAUUUAGCUUAUUUGCCAAUUGUGACAUUAGGGAUUUUUGGAAGCCUAGAGAGGCUUGAGGACUUAGACUAUUUGAGAGAUUGGGCCAAUGUCAUAAAGAGGCAUUGGGCCCGGGCUAAAGUGAACCUUGCUAGUAUUGUUUUAAUUGGAAUAUGGAACAUGAAUUGGGCAUGAUUAGUUGUGAUGCUUAAGUGUCAUAAAGAGGCACUAAGCAAGUGUGUGCGUUGGAGCGUCACUUUGAGACUUUGGACUAGAUCCUUGGGAUGCUAGUGACCUUGCCAUGUGAGAGGCAUGAGAGUAGAGUACUUGAGACUUUGACCUUGCUUGUUUGCCAUUUGUGCUCAUUCGCACAUGCUUGUGAGGGUCGCUCCCUACAAGCCGGCACUCCGGAGUUAGCCUACGCGACUUAUGUUCGCUCGUGCGGUAUUGAGAAGCCUACGGGGUCGAGUGGGACAGACACAUUCCAAGAGUAGGGAUGUCAGGCUACCACAGGUACUUAGGCGGCACAAGCUGGACUACCUUUGGGAGGUCCUUAAUUGGAAAUGGAAAUCGACACGGUGUUAAAAAAUGAAUAAUCACUGCUAGAUAGGCUUAGUAGUUGGGUUACCUGACACGCUCAUGACAUAGCAUUGGGAUACAUAUAGUAUACUUGCCUGUUUCAUUCAUUGUGUCAUAGUAUACUGGGUCGCAUAGUAGAACUCAUUCUUUAUGCAUGACAUCUUGGACGGUAGCAUUUACUUCCUGCCAUCGGACGUACUUGUUUAUGCUAGAAUAGAUGUACAUUAUACUUACAUCAUGCCUUGCUUACUAUUCUUGUCGUUACUUACCUUUUUCUUUUAGGGCCUAGAGGUGCAUUGGGCUGAGGUCAGUAAUUGCCCACUGGGAACUAUAAAUUAUAGUUCUCACGCUCUCUGUUUUAUGUUUUCUUUCAGAGCCUUCCACGCCGGGAGAGGCUAGGGACCGUGGGAAGGGCGUCGCAUCGAGUUAGCCCUUCAGCGAGAGAUGAGUUUAGGUGGUUUACCUCUCGAUGUUUUAUUUUGUGAGAGGUUGAGAGUUGUACCCGUAUAUGUAUAGAGACCACCUUUCUUUUGGAUCUUGGUAUUUCUUUUGAGGAGUUAGUAUUGUAUCACCUUAUGUUUUACUUUCUUCGUCUCGAUAUAUUUCCUUUACUCUGGUUUAGAUGAUAGAACUUUGCUCGCUCUGAUAUCGUUAGUUGUUAUUAUUCUAUUUGUACUAUUUCUUGCUUUUAUUUCUGCUUUAUUGUAGACGCCUUAUAUGUGUAGACAUAUGGCGGGUCUAGGCACGCCACCGGGAGGGCCCCCGCCGGUCCCGGGGCGUGACAGAUUAAUUUGGUAUCAGAGCCUAGGGUUGAGUCUUAGAGGACCUCGCAAACCUUAGGCCGGUUGGACUAUAGGAAUUAGGCUCGUCUCGAGAAUACCCUAUCCUCUAGGGUCAUAAUCAUCGUAUAGUCCAUAGGCGUCGUAUACACCGAGUUCAACAUGCAUCACUUGUUUUCUUAUACACUAUCAACUAGAUUGCCACUUGUCCAUGGUUUACUAUCGACUAGAUGCCACUCAUUCUUUGUUUAUCAUUAGACCAACCAUUGAGUCCAUCUCUUCCUCUGCACUAUAGGAUCCUCAAACCUCGACCCAAUCCUUAUCGAUCCACUAUAUCAAACAUCUAUUACAUGCUACGAUAUCAUCAAGGAAAGCAUAAGGAAAGGCAAUGCACAAUCAUCAUAUAAUGCAAUAAUACAAGAUGCAAGAAUCGACAUGUACUAAGACAUAGAAGGGAGCCCGAUUGCUUCGGGAUGGACACCACCCACCUCUUAGUGAUGCCGCGAUGAUAGAAAGCUCGACGUUGCGGUCUUUGCACGUCGCUUCAACUCCUCGGGGCAAAGCGAGCCCUCGAGUACCCGAUUCGGCGAUAACUCCGCACUCGCUCGUCGGAUCGGCAAACCGUCUUCGCCGACGCGUUCCGAGACCUAGCAAUUUGGUUUACGACCUAUUAAGAUAGAUCAAAACCCUAGAUUUAUCAAAAUCCCAAAUCUGUGCCCUAGAAUGGCAACGAGGGAGAAAUCCGUGGUGCAAGCUUCGAUUGCGAGCCCGAACCAUCUACUUAUCUUCUCUAGGUUCUAUUUGAACCAAUUCUAAGCAAUAAAACCCAAUCCUAAGAAAUCUACCAUGGAUGGGUUUGGAGUUUACCUCUAAGCCAAGGUCCAAGCUUGCCCUAGCUUGAAGGAGAGAGGGAAGAAGACCUUCUUCUUCUUCUUCUUCUCCUUCCACUUCUUCCUCUUUUUCUUCUUUUCUUUCUUCUCCUUCUUCUUCUCCUUCUUUUCUUUCUAGAGAGAGAGAGAGGGAAAGAGUGUGAAAGAGAGAGAGAAAGAGCAACUGGGAGGGAGAAAGGGGGGUCCCUAAGCCCUCAUAUAGGCCAUUUUGCAGAUAGCCCCCUCAACUUUUCAUUUCCUGAAACAGCCCUCCCUGGGCCAUUUUCGUAGUGAGGGACCGGUCCCAGCUCGGGGAGACCGGUCCCCGAAGGCUGCCAUUUCGAGCAGAGGGGAUUUCGUGUUCGGGAACCGGUCCUUGCCUGAGAGACCGGUCCCCGGGAGACCGGUGCUGGUCCGAGAGAUCGGUUUCCGAGAGCUGCACUUUCGGGACUUAGCCAAAUUUCGGCUUUUCUCGCUGGGCCAACGUUCGGGAACCGGUCCCUGCCUAUAGGGACCGGUCUCAUCAGAGACCUCCGCAACCCAGCCUGAUGGGACCGGUCCCUCCCUGCCAGGGUGUCACGCCCCGGGACCGGCGGAGGCCCUCCCGGUAGCGUGCCCAGACCCGCCAUAUGUCUACACAUAUAAGGCGUCUACAAUAAAAGCGGAAGUAAAAGCAAGUAAUAAAACAAAUCGAAGAAGUGAAAUAAUGAGCAGCUAAUGAUAUCAGAGCGAGUAAAGUUCUAACAUCUACACCAAGGUAAAGAAAUAAAGCUAGACAAUAAAAGAAGUCAUAAGUAGUACAAUAUCUGUCUCAAAAGUACAAAAACGGUGGUCACUAAUACACUGGUAGAACUCUCAACCUCUCGCAAGAGGAAACAAAAAUCGAGAGGUAGACCACCUAGCAACUCGUCCUCGAAGGAAGCUAGCUAGAAAGCAACUCCCUUCCCGCGAUCCCUGGCCUCACCCUGAGUGGAAGGCUCUGUAAAACAUCGAGAAAAAGAGGGCAUGAGAACUAUAAUUUAUAGUUCCCAGUGGGCAAUUACUGACCUCACUCAUCGCACCACUAGGCCCCAAAAAAGGGGCGUAAGGUAAGAAUAAGCAAAAUAAGAAUAAUUAGUAACAAUGUAGAAGCGUAAUAGACUGGUGCUAAGCCAUAUUCUCAAAGUAAGCAAUGAUGCCAUUGGUAAUGUACAUCUAGCACUACAUUAAGUAAUAAUCCGAUGCAUACUAAUAUGUUCACACAUAAAAGCAAGUAGCCUCACGAUACGUAUGUCAAUGCAUAAGGUAAACUCUUAUCCAAACACGAGUACCUACGAUGACAAUGAUAAUUGGCCAAGUAUACUAAAUUACAAUGCGUAUUACAUAAAUAGCGUGUCAAUAAUUCCAAACUACUCCUAUCUAUAGUGAUUGUUCAUAAAUCAACACGUGUCGAUUUCAUUUCCAAUACAAGGACCAACUCAAGUGGUCCAGCUUGUGCCGCCUAAGUGUCUGUGGUACAUCGACAUCCCUACUCUUGAAGUGUCUUCCCACUCGACCGUAGCACGUGCUUCUCAAUACGCUCACUGAUGCGAACGUAGUCGCGUAGCUAACCCCGGAGUGCCGGCUUUGUAGGAGCGACCCAGCACAGCAUCGUGCGAAUGGACACAAUGGCAAGCAAGCGAGUCCAUAGUCUCCAAAUAUCCAAUCUCAUGUCUCCUAACAUGGUAUCAUCAUAACUAGCAUCCCCGAAGAUCUGCUAGUCACAUUGAAUUGGUAUUUUUUGCCGACGCCUAGCUGCCCUUGAUGAUGACUUAGGCAAUUUGAUGUCGCAACUGUAACCCACAGCUCGCUCGAUGGCACUACUCACGACAGGUUCACAACAUUGUCGCACUCAAUGCCGCUUGAGACAUUAGCAUCUCGUAGUUUCAGCUAUACAUUUAAGUUCAAUACCCUAUAUGCAAUUUUUGUCACUCUUUUACAUGUCUCAAGAUAAACCUUAAGUUAAAUGCAUGAUCCAAAGCUCAUUUACAGCUCAUAUAGAAGCAUGAACUCACCAGUCUCAUAUAGAACUAAUGCAACACAUAGGCCUACCAAGCUAACUCUCUUACUUAACAUAUGAGUCCAAAAUUUCAACAUGCAUAACUUAGCGCGCCUUUUAAGCAUUUCUAAAAUUCCCUGGAAUAAUGUAUAUAAUAAAGAAUAUGCAGCUUUUUCAAUUACCGAGCAUAAAGUAACCAUAUACAUGAGAAUUUCUCCAUAUGUAGGCAGGUCAAACCCCACCGAACGCGUCGCGUAGGUCUCGAUCCCGCGAACAAGUUGGUCCCCGAGUCUCAAAUUAUCCUAUAAAUAAUGUGACGAUACAAGAUAACAUGGGCAUUACGACCUAGUUUAUAAGAUCAAAACUCUUAAGACAUUUUAGCAAAAGGCCCACCAAAACUCACCCAAGCAUAAAAUCCUCUCUAAGCUCUCAAGGAGAGUAAGAAUCAUUCCAAUCCAAAGCCCAAGAGUUCUAGUCCAACACAUCUACUCCAUAAAGCCUCCAAAGCACAAAUGCCCAAUAGACCCUCAAAUUUCCAUUUCUAAGGGUUUGAUCUAUGAAUUCGAUUCACAAAAUUCACUAUUCUAUAGGAGACGACCAAGUAGAUUACCUCCUACGAAGCUCAAUCUACAGCUUGUAACAUCUCUAAGUCCAAGGAUCUCCCUCAACUCUCCAUAACCAAGCCUCAAUAGGGAAAGUCUCAAAUCAACAAAGAGAGGCAAAAGAGGGGUUUAAUCUCUUUAAACAAUAUCCAAAAAAUCAACAGAAAACAAAGAGGUGACAGGGUGGGGCCUCCCCUAUCCUUCUCUCUGUCCAAGCUCAGGAGAGCCACUAGGGGCGUGGGGGAUACAUAUAACAAUCGAACAAUUAGCGAAAAACCCCACUGCAGUUCAAACUGCUUCAAGAAUCUGCCGAAACGUGUAUCGCGUACACCGGAAAGUGUACCGGUCACACAUCUACGAAAUGCGAAACGAAGGCUCGGCGUUCGAAUUUCCCACAGUGUACCUGGUACAGACUACAUCAACGCGUCCGGUACAAUAAUGUGUACGUACGACCAUCAACGAGUCGUACCGUACACCUUGUCAAAUCAAUCCGAGGGUAGGCUAAGUCCAACUUUUUGGUGACCUUAGCGCUACAUAAAAUACUACAAUUCUCGAAAUACGUGCCAUAGGUCGGAACACUGUCAACGACCCACCAGAAAGUCUGGAAAGACUCGGGACACUGUCCAAACACUCGAACCCCGCAAUUUGCAAAAGUCCGGUGCGUCACACAGAGACUGGUCACCGAGAGCAUUUCUGCUCCAGUGCAAGUUUUGCAAUUGGUGCUCUCGCGGACCCUUCCUUAGUGCACUUAAUGCGUUAAAAUCACCUUCGGACUUUCCAAAGCUUACACACUCGACAACUACUCGAUUCUGAUUGAAGUCUAAUCCUCGAGUUUUGAGAAUUCACUUCCUCACACCAUGUCUCCACGGUCCAAGGAUCGAUCACCUCUCCGUCGAACGUAGGCGGAUGGAACUUCGUAAAUCUCGUGAGAGCCGUGUAUCCACGCUCUCGCUCCGCCUCAUCAGCUGCUACCCUCGGCAUAGGGGAUCUAGACACCGCAGGAGGAAUAUCCACCGGUGGGGGUUGCGCCGCCACCGGAACCGGCACAUCGCCUACACCCUCAGUCGCAUUGGGAGCGCGAACCGCAGGCGCAGGCAGAUCGCGGCCUGGACCAACUGCCGCAGCCGCCGCCGCCGCCGCCACAGCUUGUCGCUCCAACAAUUCCUGGAGCCGAUCGAUCGGUCCCAUUAGCGUAGCAACUUGCGCUCGCAACUCCUGUCCCUCGCUAGGCCCAGCUGGCUCUGGCGCCCCCGGAGGCACAGCUGGCUCGAGCACCUCUGGAGGUGGUGCCGGAGCAGUCCUACGCACAUAACGUCUCUUCGGUGCCAUCAACUCCUGAAACGCAAAUAGUUGGUUAAUUAUUUAACCCAACAACGUCGUCGCAGUUAUGAAACAAAACAACCCAACCACAUUAAUCAGACGGAAGCUCUUAGGCGUACUCAUUCUCGACUCUCGGCAUCGUGUCGUCGGCCGCCAACACAACCGCCUUAAGCCAAGAGCUAGUAUCACUCAAUUCAUCUCUAGCAACUACUAGAGUAUCAACACCAAUCUCGACCCAAUCGAUCAACUUCCGUCGCAUCAUAGGUUCACGUCGCACUCACGCACCUAUAACCUUAUGGUUCACCAUCCUAGAGUCUCCUAGGUCAGUCCUAGACUCUCUCUUUUGCUUGCUCUUACUCGCUUUGAUACCACAAACUGUCACGCCCCCGCCCCGAGGCCGAUACCAAUUUGGUCCGGUUCGUGCGCGGCGGAGGACCGCCGAACGGACAGCACCUCCCCUGUCCGCCCAAGGCUCUCUACAAAAGUUAAGUCGUUUAUGGAUAGAUAGACGUAUAGAUAGACACGGACGAAUCUGGAUCACCCCUCUAGCCGCCUCAGCCGCCGGCUUGGGUGACCCUUGAUAAGCAUCAAGAGUAGGGUGAAACAACGUCCAGGCUCAUGCUCAUCGGGGCCACUCCUAGCGCCGUUCCCGCAUCGCGGGAUUACCAUAAUCGUGUAUCGAUCGAAAUGAAGGAAAACGUAAUCGAUGGGAUAUGAAUAUAACUCUCAUCUACAACAUAUCCCACUCCAAAACUCUCCUAACAUGAACAUAUACUAGUAUAAAACCCUUUUCUUGUUUUCUCAACAUUAAUUUACAUAAUUCAACUUACCUACAUUAUCUUAUCAAUUCAUAGAAAGAAAGUAAGUGAACAUACCGACAUAAUGAGCACUACGAACGAGAGCAUAACAUAUCGUGAUAAACACGAAAGCACCAUACUAACACAUACAUAAGUUCAACAACAGGACCCUUGAACAACAUGUGUUAGAGCAGUAANNNNNNNNNNNNNNNAAUUCUUCUCAUAAUCCUUUAACUGCCGUGAAGCAUAAGCAAUCACCCUACCAUGCUGCAUCAGUACGCAACCAAGUCCACUGUGCGAUGCAUCACUGUAGAUCACAAAUCCUUCGCCCAUAACAGGAAGGGCAAGGAUAGGAGCCGACAUUAACCUCAAUCUCAACUCGUCAAAGUACCUCUGACAGUCGUCGCUCCAGACAAAACGAAUCCCCUUCCGCGUCAAGCGCGUGAGGGGUGUGGAAAGCUUCGCAAAGCCUUCCACAAAUCGACGGUAAUAUCCUGCCAGUCCCAGGAAGCUCCGUACCUCAGUAACCGUCGUCGGUCUAGGCCAAUCUCGAAUCGCCUCAAUCUUCUUCGGGUCCACUACUACGCCCUCAGCUGAAAUCACAUGGCCCAAGAAAGCAACCUCCCGUAGCCAGAACUCGCACUUCUUUAACUUGGCAUACAACUUCUUCUCGCGCAGAAGUUGUAGCACAAUCCUCAAGUGCUCCUCAUGCUCAGCAUCACUCCGGGAGUAAAUCAGGAUAUCGUCGAUGAAGACUACCACAAACCUAUCCAAGAACGGCUUGAACACUCUGUUCAUCAAAUCUAUGAAGGCGGCAGGGGCAUUCGUCAAUUCAAAAGGCAUCACCGUGAACUCAUAAUGCCCGUACCGAGUCCGAAAAGCCGUCUUGGGAACAUCCUCCGCCCUCACCCUCAACUGGUGGUAACCUGACUGGAGAUCAAUCUUCGAAAAGACACAAGAUCCCUGUAGCUGAUCAAACAAAUCAUCAAUGCGCGGCAAGGGAUACUUAUUCUUGAUGGUCACUUUAUUCAGCUCCCGGUAAUCCACACAUAACCUGAGCGAACCAUCCUUCUUCUUUACAAAUAACACCGGCGCUCCUCAAGGCGACACACUGGGUCUCACAAACCCUCUAUCCAUCAGAUCAUGAAGUUGCGCCUUUAGCUCUCUCAGCUCUGCCGGUGCCAUCCUGUAAGGUACCUUUGAGAUUGGUGCAGUUCCAGAAACUACAUCAAUCACAAACUCAAUCUCUCUCUCCGGCGGCAACGUCGUCAACUCAGGGGGAAACACAUCCGGAAACUCGCGGACUACUGGGAUGUCCUCGAGUCCCGGCGCCGCCGUAGGUACCUCCACAACUGUCGCUAGGAACGCGAUACACCCACUGCUCAGCAUCUGUCGAGCCCUCGCCGAAGAUAUCCAGGUGGCAAACAGCGUGCUCCUGCAGCCUCUGAAAGUAAACUCCUCCUGGCCUGGCUCGCGGAACGUCACCGUCCUCGCUCCACAGUCGAUCGUAGCAUAGUACCGCGCCAGCCAAUCCAUACCGAGCACUACGUCGAAGUCCUGUAGCUGCCCUAACACGAACAGGUCUGCGGGCAUGAUCGAAGAGUCUAACUGCACCGGACAGGACCAACAACACUCUGUAACCUGCAAGACAUGGUAGGGGAUCUGCACCUCUCGUGCCUGAGACAACGCUCCUAACUCUAGACCAUGCAACAAUGCAAAUGCUCGGCUAACAAAGGAAUGCGAUGCACCGGUAUCAAAAAGAGUGCGAACUCUAAUGCCAGAAAUCAAAGUGAUACCUGCCACCACUCGGUCGGCUGCUGAAGAGUCCUCCACCUGAGCUGCGUAGACCCUGCCACUCGGAGCCUGCUGUCGCCGCUCACUCGACCGCGGCACAGACGAUCUGUCCUCCUGGCGGUAGCUCGGUGCUGCUCCGUAAGACUGCUGUGGUGCUGGUGGUGCCGAAGCUGAUGACGGUGCUGGAGAUGCUGCUCGGGGACAAGCUGCCCUCAUGUGUCCCGGCUGACCACAUCCGUAGCACCUGCCCUCUCUCUGCUCGCACUGCCGAGGCCAGUGUGGUCCCCCGCAGAUCACACACUGUGGCGUCCUCUGAGUCUGCCCCUGCUGACGGGAUCCCCUGGAACGCUGACGCCCCGAAGACCCACGACCCUGAGAACGUGAUCGUGGAGGUCUCGGCGGACGUCUGCUGCUCGACUGCCCUCCGUCAUCUGGAAAGGGGCGCUUCCUGUCCUGACCCUGCCCCACGGCCUGAGUCCUCUCCUGCAGCGACACCUCACCUCUCUCCACCCAUAGGGCCUGCUCUAUGGACGCAUCCAGGGUCCUCGACCUCUGCGCCCGCACUAACCUGAAGAUGUCCGGUCUCAGCCCCUGCUCGAACAUGUAUACUCUGUGCGCCUCGUCUCUGGCCGCAAAUGGUACACAGUUCAGGAGUCGAGUAAACUCCCGAACGUACUCCUGCACUGGGCGAUCUCCCUGCUGAAGCCUCCUCAAAUCCUCCUCGAGCUUCUGCUUCACACUGUUGGGAAAGAACAUCCCAAACAGCAUUCCACAGAACUCAUCCCAACUCAGCUGCGCCGCCACUAGCCCCUGGUCUCGCCUCGUUCUCCGCCACCAGUCAUGAUCAUCACCUGCUAGACAGUGUACUCCCAGGGGUACCUGCUCCCCCUCUGGAACGAACAGAUCCUCGAAUAACUUCUCCAUCGCACUGACCCAUCCCUCAACAAUCCAGGCCUCAGUGCUUCUGCCAUCGAAGAUCGGUGGAUCAAAUCGGCAAAAACGAGCUAACCUCUCCGUCCACCGCUCCUGCUCGGCCUCAGUCAACGGUACUGGCCCCCUAGCAGGCGUAACUGGCGCUACUGGAACUGCUGCCGAUGGAGGAACUGCUGCAGCUGGUGCUGUCACUGGGGUAGUCGGGGGUGGAACUGGCGACUCUGGUGCCCUCGGUACAGAACUCGGUGGCUGAGCUAUCCUCUCACACAACCUCUGCAAUAGCUCCCCCUGCUGUCUCGUCACCUCGGUCAGGGCAGCUAACUGUGCACUCAAAUCAGGAGGUGCGCUAGUCUCCGGUCGGGCCCUCUGCUAAACAACUGGGGGUGCACUCGCCUCUGCCUGCUCAGGCAUCUCGGGAGAUCUAGCACGAUCCUGCGCCAACUGCGCACGCUCCCGCAACGACGGUCGACCUCGGCGACGAUACAUAACUGAAAGGAACAAAUCGGGGUCAGUUGAAACACAAACACUCUUGACCCAAUCAACGAAAGUCUGGAAGGCGGUCCCUGUUUCCCUCCAAAAUUAUGUCGUCUGCAGCCAACAUAAUUUCUCAGGCCGAAACAGGAACUCCUUCAGUCACUCACUCUACUAUAAGAGGAGUUAGAACAAAUAAUCAUUGACUUUUGCAAUUAAAUUAUGCCUCUCGCGUCCUGCUUUCCUAAGGUUUGCCAAACUUAGGUUUCCUAGGUCCCAACGACCUACAGCAAAGAUCUGAUACCAACUUAAUCUGUCACGCCCCGGAUUACACGUUCCCCGGGCACGCCGACAAAUCCGCCGUAUACAAAUAAAUUUUUCCUGUAUACGAAGCGAUAGCUGUACCUGUAAAUCAAACACUACUACGAAAAGUAGUAGAGAGCUGCUAGAGAAAACAGAAGCUAAAUAAAACAGAGUUUCAUAUACAUAGUUCAGAUCCAAAAUACAGAGCUACUCGCACUGGCGAGUUAAGUCAACUAUGUACAUAAACUCGAAACAAAACAUCUACCUGCAGUAGGGCACCUCUAGCUCAGUGCGUCGGGUAGGGCUCUAACUCGCGAUGCCCUUGCCUCGAUCCUGGUCCGCAGACGGUGCAGCAGCCGGCACCUGUGGCUCUGCAAAAACAUAGGUAACAACUGGGCGUGAGAACUACUGUAAAAACAAGUAGUCCUCAGUGGGUACCGCCCAAAACAACAUCGGUCACCCACUAAGUCUACAGAAGGGAGCUAAGAUAGAAGGAAAGCAGGAAUCAUACUCUACCGCUAUCAUCCACUACACUAUCAUGCUCUACACUAACCAACUGUAGAAAAUGUCAAAUCUGACCCAAUCCAAUCGGGACUGUAAGCAUACCCGUCCCCGGGACUGUGAAUACACCCGUCCCUGCCCCGUUGCGACUAUCAAGCUCUAUCCACACUAACUGGUCCGUGGAGAGCAAGUCCAACUGGCAUGAGCGACACCAACGCAAAAGCACAAGCCUGACUCCGGAGUGGCACUCGUGGGCGCUACCCAACCGAGUAUGCAGCGUAUCUCUGUCGAGCUCAAUCAGGCUCCAACUAGCCAAGGUCAAGUGAUCGACUCAAACUGGUCAAACAACCAACAGGUAACGUGCCCUCGGCACAAUCUGACGCCAAAAAGGCGAUACGGGUCCACCGUCAACUCUGACGGCACCCAACAGUCCGAAACGACCUGAACAACCCUGUAAAAAUCUACUCGGCGAACCAGCACGAGUGUAAAUACAUUCUAAACUACCUGGAGUACUCGUCUCGAAGAAACUGCGACAGUACAAUUUUCUAACGGCUCCUAGAGCUAAAUCAGGUAGUUAAAACUGGUGACAGGCCCAAAUCGCAAGUUUUCUCCUAAUUCAAUUUCCAAGUCCAACAUAUAUAAUCUAUUUACUUGAUAAAAUAUGCUCGAAAAUUCAGAUUUUACAUUCUAAAGAUAAUCCAUGAAUUUGAGCUAAACUUUAAUUACCGAAAUCAAGAUCUAUACAUGUCGACCAAUAAGAACUUAGGAGUAAAGCCGAUGUAACCCACCUAAAAAUGCAAAUCCUUGGCAGCGAAGGACUCCCACUGGUGUAGAGCAACUUGCUGGAUCAAACGCACAGCUCCGAGUCCAGAAAUCGUCCACGCUCGAGCUCCACACGACAAUAAAUCACCGUUUCAGUCCCGAAUUUCAGCAGUGAGGUACAACAGGGAUUCGACCAAGCUUACCUUCACCAAAUCCAGCAAGUUAGGGCUUCGUGGAUUCCUCUCGUAGUCCUGAAUCCAACGAGCCAAGUCUCGUCGCAAUCCGAUGCUCCUACGUCGAGAACGAGCCAAAAUACAAACAGUCGACGGUGAAAUUCUGCGAAAACAGCACUUAAGCUCUAAUUUGAUGAUACCCGGAUUAAUCGAAGCCACUCCAACAGACACUCACCUCGACAACACCGGGCACCGCUGCGACAGCAAAAACGGCGAAAUCCUCCUCUCGCCCGGCCUUCUCGCGCUGUAACGGCAGCAACCGUAUCCCCGGACGGCUCCGCGGCGCGACGUCGGCAACGAAAGCUCCAACCGAGAUCCUCCCUAGCCUAAGAUCUGUUGGAGAGUGAGAGAGAGGAAGUAGCAACAGAGGAACUCCCUCUCUCUGUCCUCAUAAGGCUAAAUAGAGAGAGAGAGGGCUGGUGAUACAAACGAGGGAGAGAAAAGACCAAAACACCCUCUCACCUACCCUGGUGUACCGGUACACGGGAUUGCGUACCGGUACAGGAAGCAACCCGAGAGCAGAUUGCGCGGCAUCAGUAUAGUGUACCGGUACGCCAUGAUGGCUGUACCGGUACAGCAAGCAGAAAAAUCUGCUAUUUUGCAGAUUUCUUCGCUAAAAGCCGCCCUCGCGUCGCACAGAGUCCGUUUUGCAUCAAUUUGACGCCAACGCGACUAGGACUUGUCCCGACACUCUCCAGAGCUGCCGACAAGCCUCCACAACUGAACACCAGGGAUCUCACACUUUGACUUUGUGGACCCUUCGUAGGUCUGGUCGAUGGCUUUGUACAUCUUAGGGACAAACGCGACAGAGAUACAUGUGGGUAUUUCGAUCCGAAGUCGGUCUAGUGGUGCACGCUCGCUGAUGUUCCCUCCACCUUCACUUUCUAUACUUCUUGCAUUACUUGUGAUUGUUAAGCCUGACACCAUACGACCCUAUUGCAUGUUGCUCUACUUAGUUAUUUUUAUAUUCACUUAUUGUGAUCCACAAGUAAAGCAAUUAUUUACUAUCCCAUGGAUUGUGACAUCCGUUGUGACCUAGUUGGUCAGUUAUGUGACUCUCGUUGUUUGAUGAUCUAUUUGGUCAGUAUAACUUGAGGGGUUUAAUUGUUGGCUACUUGCCGACAACUAUUGAUCAUAUUUGCAUCGAUCGUCAUUGCUCAUACGCAUUUCACGUACACCAGCGAUUUGGACACCGCAACGGUGUUCUUUUUCGAAAAUGUGGUCAGACUUCCGACCCGUGAACCCAGAAACUUAUGCUACCGCAAUGGUGUUCUUUCCGAAAAAUUGAUCGGACUUCCACCAUUACUCGUACGCUUUUUACGUACACCAGCGAUUUGGCCACCGUAACGGUGUUUUUUUUUUCGAAAAAGUGGUCAAACUUCCGACCUGUGAGCCCAAGAACUUAUACUAGGGUUAUAUGCUAUUUAGAGCGGCGUGACACUUGCCUGAGGUCUUUAGACCGACACGGCGGAUCUGGAUUGGUUAUUUUGAUGAAAAGGACUUGUAUAAAUGUUAACUUGGGAGAUGUAUCAUUUAUAUAAUGAUGUAUGAAAAAGAUGUUAGAAAAUUGCGUACGGUAAAACGCAGCGGAAAAAGAAAUCAAACAAAUUUGAUUUUGAAAAACUCUCGAGAUCUAAUCUCAAAAACCACGCAAUUAGGAUCCCUCAUGUUCUUUAAGAUUAAAGGAGAAAAGUAAGAUCGAAUCAUUACUUUUUUCGCGGAUAAAUUCUUGCCUCAAUUUGAUAAUCGUGGAAUCGGGUUCUCUUGAAGCCGCACACGCGUCCGGCCUCUAUAGGUAUCCACAUGAGGUUCUUGAUUUGAUCGAUGUCCUCACCGGGGUGCUAGCUCCCUUGCAAAAGGACGUCUUUCUUGCUAGAUGAUGGAAGAGAGAAGAGAGGAUAGAUGACGGCUUGGGUUUUCUAAAAACUCCCGUAUAUUAUAUAUAGGAAUAUAAUCCUAUUCCUAAUAAUAUAAUGACAAUUAAGGAUAAGUAUAAAUCUAGAUUUAAAUUUAUCUUUUCCUUAAUUGGUUAGAUCGAUCAAAUCCUAAUUUGAUUCGACUUGAAUUUUAUAUUAAUUUGAUCUUAUCAAAUUAAUAAUGCAACAUUUGCACAUAAGUCCUCUUAUAAUUUACUAACUAUUAGUAAGUCCUCUCUUGUAACAUUUACACUUUAAUACCACUAAUUUGUAACAAUUACAAAUUAGUCCAAUUAUCAACAUAUUGACAAUUAGGUCCUCCGGCGAUUCAAUAAUCGCGAUCUAGCUAUCCGAUCAAUCACAACCUCUUAUGUGUGUGACCCCAUAGGUUCUAUUCUAUCUGGUAGUGAGAUAUAUUUUGAUCACUAUCAACAAUAUCACUGAAACUCCUUUCAAUGGAUUAGAACAAUUCCAACUCAGCCCAAUGAGAAUUAUCGAUCAUCUAGAUAAUUCUCAUGAGUCUCACAAUCCACCAGUGACGCCUAGCAGCAUGUAGUGGCAUUCCAGUAGAAUGGAAUACUGAACCUCUUGGUGCAGUUACCGUGUGAUACAAUCCUUCUAUCAUGAGUCCCGACUAGACGGAGGUUAUGGAAUAACUCGUCAAACCCCAUCGUCUGUCAUAUGUUAAAUUUAUUCGACUCGAGUUUCUAAUAUCGGAAACCCUUUUCCGCUAUUUAUUCUGCCCUGGCCAAGGUCUUCUAAACUCGGUCUCAUAAAUCACAUAGGACUAACACCCCUAUCUACCAAGGGAGAUAGAUUCCAUCUAAGUGCGCACCCUAUUCCUACAAUGAACCUACUGCAGCCAACAUGCACCGCAAGGACCCGAAUGGCUAGGGACCAAGUGUAUGUACAGUCAAACUACAGUAACCUCAUUGUGAAUAGCCGAGGCACCGCAGGUCAAAGGACCAGUCACACUACUGCAACAAUUGAGUAAGUCACUGACGAGUGAGUAGACAUCCAAGUGACUUCUCGCGUUGGUCACGCUCGGUACCCUUGUUCUCUAACAACCACCUGCAUAUUCGCUUCAGUGUCCCCACACUGUCGACUCGAAACUCGUCUACCCUGAAAGGGAAGCGACUUAUGCACCAAUCUCAUUGGAUCAAUCACCGUCCCCGUGAUGAUCCAUUGAUCGGGAGCAUUUAGGAAUUAAUCACCAAUGACACAUGUCUCAAAUUCUCAACACUUGAGAAUAUAUGUCAUCAUCUUAUUAAUUCCUUGGACGAUUCAUGGACACAUACACAACAUGAAUGGAAAUAAAAACCCAAAGUUAUUCAUAAUAUUUUAAAAUCAAAUACAAAAUUAUGUCCUAGAAAGAAUACAUGUGUCGGCCUGGUUGGCUUCUAGGGCAUACAUCUAACAAAAGAUAGUUGUAUUUUGGUUAAAGUAAUCAAAGUUCAAUGUAUGGAUGUAAUAGUUAGAAUUUACUUUCACUUGCUUGGUUACUUGCUCUCGUGAAAGUCAUGUGUAUUGAUGUUUUUUCUAAGCAACUCAUAAUACAUGCUACUGUUGUUGUGGUUGAGCCUUGGGCGAACAGGGGAGAUUCUAUCCGUUCGGCGUCUGUGCGCGUACCCGAACCGACCAAAUUGGCUGUCACAGGGCAUGACAGUAAGUGAUUAGGCAAGAUACAUGUACAACUACCGCUACUGUUAGUAAAAUGCAACAAAAGAUGAACAUAAGGGGUACAACUAAUGCCACAGGAGUCCACUACCUAGGGCGCUAUGCCCUUGCCGCGACCCUCCACCACCCCGCUCGUGCUAGGAUCCGCAAAAAGAGUAGGGUGAGAACUACAAGAAGUUCCUAGUAGGUUCGGCCACCGACCCCACCGACUUUCCCACUAGAUCUAAUCAGGCAUAAGCAGAGAAAGAAAUAGAUAGAUAACCAAUUCUAAACUAAUGCAACUACUAUGUAUGUACAUGAAACGGAGCAAUACAUAUCAUGCAUGCAGUUUUCGUUUGCCUUUAUCUUGUCACGCCCCGGAUAUCACGUUCCUCGGGCACGCCGACAAAUCCGCCGUAUACAAAGAAAUUUUCCCUGUAUACGAAGGGUCAAAAGUACCUGUAGAUAUGCAAUACUACAAACAGUAGGAUAGAGCUGCUCAAUAAACAAAAGCUAAACCAACUGAGCUUCAUAUACAUAGUUCAGAAUCCAAAAUACAGCGUUACUCGCACUGGCGAGUUAAGUACUAUGUACAUAAGCUCGAAGUAAAACAAUUACCUGUGGUAGGGUGCCUCUAGCUCUGUCAGUCGGGUAGGGCUCUAGCUCACGACGCCCUUGCCUCGAUCCUGGUCCGCGGAUGGUGCAGCAACCGGAACCUGUGGCUCUGCAAAAACAUAGGUAACAACUGGGCGUGAGAACUACUGUAAAAACAAGUAGUCCUCAGUGGGUACCGCCCAAAACAACAUCGGUCCACCCACUAAGUCUACAGAAGGGAGCAAGAGUAGUCAGAAAAGCAGGAAAAUAACUCUACCGCUACCGAUCACUACACUAUCAUGCUCUACACUAACCAACUGUAGGAAAUGUCAAAUCUGACCCAAUCCAAUCGGGACUGUAAGCAUACCCGUCCCCGGGACUGUGAAUACACCCGUCCCUGCCCCGUUGCGACUAUCAGGCUCUAUCCACACUAACUGGUCCGUGGAGAGCAAGUCCAACUGGCAUGAGCGACACCAACGCGAAAGCACAAAGCCUGACUCCGGAGUGGCACUCGUGGGCGCUACCCAACCGAGUAUGCAGCGUAUCUCUGUCGAGCUCAAACAGGCUCCAAUUAGCCAACGUCAAGUGAACAGGGUCAAAACAGGUCUACAAACCAAACCCACGUGCCCUCGGCACAAUCUGUGACCAAAACAAGAAUCUGGGUCCACCGCUAACCCGAACGGCACCCCAACGACCCGAAACAGUCUAAACUCUGCUGAAAAAUAAGCUCGGCAUCUCAGCACGAGCGUAAAUGCCUUCUAAACUACCCCAGGUAUCCAUCGCAACGAUACUGCAACGAUACAAUCGAAUCACGGCUCCUAGAGCUAAAUCUGGUAGUUUAAGCAUAUGACGAUUCCAAUCGUGUGUUUUCCUAAGUCAAUUCCCAGUCCAACAUGUACAUUUAAGAUUUACUAGUCAUGUUCUCAAUACUGAUUAUAUCCAGGAUAGCAUCACGAAUAUCAAGCUACAACAUGAUUACCGAAACUAAAAAUCAUACAUGUUGACGAUUACGGUACUUAGGAAUAAACCGAUGUAAACCCACCUAGAAAGCUAUCCCCUGGCAGCGGUACACUCUCACAGCUGUGGCGCCACCUGCUGGGUCGAUCGUAGCCCUUCGAACCCAAGAAUCGCGCUAACUCCAAGCUCUACACCAAACAAUUCACCGUUUCAGUCUAGUUUUCGCAGCAGUGGAGUACAACAAGGAUUUGACCAAGCUAACCUUCACCAAAAUUCACAAGUAAGGGCGUCUUGGAUUCCUCUCAAAGUCUCGAAUCCAACGAACCAAGUCUUGACGCAAUCCGAUGCUCCUACGUCGAGAACAAGCUGAAAUACUAACAGUCGACGGUGGAUUUCAGCAAACAACAACUAUCCGAGUAGAAGUAGUAAACACUUGCCCAUAAAUCAAGAAAAACUGAAAUACCCACCUCGACAACGCCGAGCACCAGAGUGACAGCGAGAACGGUGAAAAUCCCUGCUCGCCCGACCUCCACGCGCUACCCCGGCGUCAAACACAAGCUCGAACGGCCUCGCGGCGCGACGUCGGCGACAAAACUCCAACCGAGCUCCUCCGUAGCCUAAGAUCGGUUUGGGAGUCAGAGAGAGAGAAAGUAAUAGCAGAGGAACUCCCUCUCUCUGUCCUCACAAGGCUAAAUAGAGAGAGGGAGGGCUGGUGAUACAAACGAGGGAGAGAAAAGACCAAAACACCCUCUCACCUACCCUGGUGUACCGGUACACGGGAUCGCGUACCGGUACAGGAAGCCAACCCGUGAGCAGUCGCGCUCAGCCAAUGUAGUGUACCGGUACACCUCGCUGGCUGUACCGGUACAGCAAGCAGAAAAAUCUGCUAUUUUGCAGAUUUCUUCGCUGAAAGCUGCCCUCGCGUCGCACAGAGUCCGUUUUGCGUCUAUUUGACGCCAACGCGACUCGGACUUGUCCCGACACUCUCCAGAGCUGUCGGCAAGCCUCCACAACUGAACACAAGGGAUCUCACAUAUCUUUACCCAAUCCUUUUGGCUAACCCUUUUUGGUUAACCUCAACUCACCAAACCAAAUCCCUUUUAUCGGAAAGAAUACCGUUCCAACACAACGGGACUGUCUGCUGGGGAGAAUUCCGCUACCGCCCAGUUAGUGACAACUCCGGAGUUCACCGCUUGAUGUGGAGCGACCACCCUGAAGCAUAUCAGACUAUCUGUGAGUAUGAUCUAAUCCUCAACCUUGAGGAUACUAACGUUCAUGAUGUUCUAUUUUCUAGCAUUCCAUGUUUCUAGGUGCUAUUCAAUACAUCUAGUUAUAAUGUCGUCAUGUUUACUAUAUUGUCAUCGUCCAUACCUUGAUUCAUACAUUCAUAGGGUUUCAUAUGCCCAAAGUUCUAUUCAUAAUUCAUAUAUAUUCUAAUAUAAGAAAUUCCACGUGUCAACUAUAUAUGAACAUUAACCCUAAAAUGCAUAAUUAUAUACUUAUACAUACAUGUUCAAUGACGACAUAGACAUAACGAGAAAUUUAAUGGUUUCGGAUAGCACUAUCCACCUUGUAGGGAUGCGGAGAUACGAGAAUCUAAGUCCCGCAAUUUAUCUUCACCUAUUUCCCUCGACCCAAUUUAAUAUUUAAAUAUUUAUUUAAAUUUUAAAUUUUAAAAUUUUAAAAUUUAAUAAUUUAAAAUUGUUAAAUUAAUAUUUUUUAAAAAAAAUUAAAUUUUAAAUUUAAAUUAUAAAAUUUAAAUUUAAAUUUAAAUUUUUAAUUUUUAAUUUUUAAUUUUUAAUUUUAAUUUUUAAUUAUUUAAAUUUUAAAUUUGAUAUUUUUUAUUAGGUUAAUUGCAUACACGUCCCUGCAAACAUGAUGAAUUACAGAUAUAUUCCUACAAAGCUUAACUUUCGUAAGUUGUUCCUUCAAAAGUCCUAAUGUAUUCAGAUAUGUCCCUCUGGUUAGGAUCUGUUAAAGAACUGUUAAUUUUUUAACAGUAUGCUCGUGAAAUGAUAAUUUUGUCCUCACAAAUAUGUCCCUCUAAAACCACAUUUGCAGAAAUGUCCUCUCAAUUUUUACCCUUUUCCUCUUUCUCUUCCUCUUCGGGCAGUGGGAGCGGACGGCGACGGCGGCAGAUCAUCGACGACGACGACAAAGAAGAAGAAGGAGGAGAAGAGGAGGAUACGAAGAAGAAGAAGAAGGAGACGGCGGAGGCCGUUGUCGGCCGGUGGCGUCACCAGGGAUAGCCAGCGGGAGCACCGCCCGAUCUCCCAUAAGGAGGAGGUCGGCAUCGGCGGCGAGCUGCUUGAGGGCGUCGGAGGCAGCAACGAGGUCGCUCUGCGUGCGGAGCUUCCCCGCGGGGGGGAUCGGUGUCACGCCCCGGGGUCCUUUUUUUUUUGUUUGGAAAAACAGCGGAAACGACUAAUUUUUUUUUUUUUAAACACCUGACCCCAGAGUAUGUCAGAUCCUCCACAAAUACAGGGAAUCCACUGUUCACACGGACAGAGUCUCCCCUGUAUUUGCACGGCGUCGCACAAGUACAAUUAUACAACCAGAGUACAACCAGAAUACAACCACAACCAUAUGAACAUACUCAGGCCGGAGCGUUGGUGAGCCCGAAAGGCAUCACCGUGAACUCGUAGUGGCCGUAACGAGUCCGGAAGGCGGUCUUCGGCACAUCCUCAGCCCGGAUCUUAAGCUGAUGGUACCCGGACUGCAGGUCAAUCUUGGAGUACACCGACGAUCCUUGCAGCUGGUCGAAAAGAUCGUCAAUCCUUGGCAGGGGAUACUUGUUCUUCACCGUGACCUUGUUGAGCUCCCGAUAGUCGAUGCACAGACGAAGACUACCAUCCUUCUUCUUGACGAAGAGGACAGGGGCACCCCAGGGAGACACACUAGGUCUGAUGAACCCUCUGUUAAGCAGAUCCUCAAGCUGCGCCUUCAGCUCCUUCAGCUCAGCGAAGGUCAUACGAUAGGGGGCCUUCGAGAUCGGUGCAGUGCCCGGAACAAGCUCGAUGAAGAAUUCGAUCUCCCGGUCCGGAGGCAUUCCUGGAAGCUCGGCUGGAAAAACGUCCGGGAAUUCCCGAACUACAGGAAUCUCCUCCAAAGAUGGUGCAGCUCGGCGAGAUACGUCUACCGAAGCCAGGUAAGCCACACACCCGGCAUUCAACAACCUUUUUGCCCUCGCAGAAGAGAUAGUCGCAGCGAAAAAAGAGCUCUUACAUGCUCGGUAGACGAAUACUUCACCACCAGGCUCGACAAGAAUCACCAUCCUCCGCUCGCAGUCGAUAGUAGCGUGAUGCCUGGUGAACCAGUCCAUCCCAAGCACCAGGUCGAAUUUCUUCAUCGGGAUAACCACCAGAUCAGCUAGAAAAGACCGAUCAUCCAAGAAGACGGGGUACGACGAGAUACAGCUGACAGCAGUAAGAUCACCUCCAGGUGUCUCGAUCCGAAGUGAUACAUCGAGUGGUUACGAGGAAAGACCAUGCUCACAUGCAAAUGAAUGUGAAAUAAAAGAGUGCGAUGCUCCAGUAUCGAAAAUGGCUCUAGCACGAGUAAGGCUGAGGGUGACAAUACCUGCAAGGACGUCGCCACCAGUGCCCUCGUGCUGAGUCAGGGCGAAGACUCUCCUACCAGAUGCCUGGCGCGUCCCCUCAGAUUGCCGAGGUAAGGGGGGACGCCCAGACGAAGCAGCUGCACUCGGGGCUCCGCGGCUCUAUCGGGGUGCAGCCUGGGAGGAGACAGCACUCAAAGAAGUCCCGCCAUCUCUAGGACACUGAGCUCGCAGGUGGCCCAGCUGGCCACAACGGAAACAGUGGUCCCUCCGCUGCGGACAUUCGACCACCCGAUGAGCCUGGCCGCAGAUCACACAGGGUCGAUCGCCCCUCUGCUGGUUGCCGGAGGGCGCACUCUUUGUCGCCUGCUGAGUGCGCAGAUGCUUUGGCGGUUUCUUGCUGAAAGAAGAAGAACCACCACCAGACUUGGCGCGAGAACGCUUCUUAUCGCCUGAUCGCUCGGAUGCAUCGCGAUCAGCUCGAACCUCCUCUGACUUACUCUGCACAAUCAGGGCCCGAUCCAGACACUCAUCGAAGGUCAUCUGUAACGCACUGGACCUUUGCAAUUUGCGAGGUUCGAGUGUAUGGCUUGUGUUAUGAGUUUUUCCAGAUUUUCUGGUGGGUCGUAGACAGUGUUCAGACCUAUGGCUCGUAUCCCGAGAAUUGUGGUAUUUCAAGUAGCACUAAGCUCGCCAAAGUGGAGGACUUAGGCUGCUCUCGGUUUGGAAAUUUCGGGGUGGCGUACCGGUACGCGGUGAUGGCUGUACCGGUACAGCCAUCGACCCUGGCAGUCAGAGCGCCAACCCGAGGCUCGGGUUGGGCUGGUUCGUGGGAUGUGUACCGGUACACAAACCCGUGUACCGGUACGCAGUGCAGUAUGGGCUGUUUCGGGGAGGGGUGUAUUUGCAACUGUUACAACACCUAUAUAGGUGACCCCAGCCCCCUUAGCUGCCCUCUUUGAGCCAUAACCAGUGGAGAUCAAGGUGAGUCUCCCCUUCCCUUGUUUGAUCUCCAUUUUUGGUGGAUUUUAUGGUGUUUUGAUCUCUCCCUUCUCCUCUUCUUUGCUUUUGUUGGGUUUUCUCCAUGGUUGAAGACUUGGAGCUUUGAGAGGAGCUUGUUUGUGAGGAGACCUCCAACCCUAGCUGAUUUUGGACUUGGUUUGAGGCUAUUUAGGAGGUUAGUAACAUGUAUUUUUCGUUUGAUACAUGUUUUGUUGGUUUUGGUUAGAGGGAACCCUAGAUUUUGAAUUUUAGGGUUAGAAAUCGGGAUUUUCGAGUUGAGGCUUUUUGAUCUUGAUUGAUCUUAUUAGAACCAUCUUUUAGGUUGGUUUUGAAGGAUUCUUGCCUCCUUUUGGGGAUCAAGAGAGAUAUUCACCAUUUUCGGUGAGUUUUUCCCACCUUAGCUUGAAAAGCUUAAUGUUUGAGCUAUGUGUUGUUUGUAUGGUUCUUGUGACACUUGUUUCCAUACCUUUAGGGUACUAGGAGAGUGGUGGACACCCUCAUCGGAACAAUCGAAGGGUCCCGUCGUCGUCGGUGGGUUUGACCUAGCCACAUAAUGAGAAAAUCUCAUUGUUGAUGAUUUAAGUAUUGUAAAAUGAAAAAGCAUGCAUAUUCAUGUUAGAUGCAUUAUUUGUGAAUUUUAGAAUGCUUAAAAUGCACAUGUUAUAUACAAUGCAUAUUUGACCUCUAUAUAGUAGAGAGUUUUCAUGUUGGGCUAGGGGCCUACGGUUAGCAUUCUUACAAUUGAUUGAGAUCAUGUUGCAUAUGGUACAUAUGGCAUAUAGAUUACACUCUUGGACUUAGAACGCAUGAUUGACGUGGUUGGACAUAUCGACAUUAAGUGACAUAGGCUAGAGUGUAUACAAAUAGUAAGCUAAUGUCAUAAAGCGGCAUUAGGCUUGGACUAGAUAUGGGUUUAGCAAGCUAAUGUCAUAAAGCGGCAUUAGACUUGAUGGAUAUGCAAAUUGCAUGUGCAUGUUAUUAUUAUGAGAAUUAUGCCAAGUUAAUAGUCGCAUUGGGAAGAACUUACAUGUAGCAAUAUGAGAACACGCUAGAGAGCAUGUGUAUUAAUCUAUUAUUGAUAGAACAAGCUAGCGUCAUAAAGAGACAUAGAAUGUGAAUUGAGCUUAGAUUAUAGCAAUGUUUAAGUGUCAUAAAGAGGCACUAAACAUAGUGAAUGUGGGAACUUCACCUUGAGCUUUGGACUUAGUAAAGCUAAGGUCAUUGACAUAGAAUUUUUAUUGAACGGUUAAACCUUCACAUCGAGACAUUGAACUAGAUCUUCGAGAUGCUAGUGACUUUUACCAUGUUAGAGACAUGAUGACUGUUGGGUGGCUAUUACCAUGUUGGAGACAUGACGAUUGGACUAUUGAGGUAUUUGACCAUGCUUGCUUGCCAUUUGUGCUCAUUCGCACAUGCUUGUGAGGGUCGCUCCCUACAAGCCAGCACUCCGGAGUUAGCCUACGCGACUUAUGUUCGCUCGUGCGGUAUCGAGUAGCCUACGGGGCCUGGAGGGAUAGACUCAUUCCUAGAGUGGAAAUGCUGGAGCUACCACUGGCACUUAGGCGGCACAAGCCGGACUACACCUGUGUAGAUCCUGAUUGAGAUUGAACCAGAAUAUUAAGCAAUAAGUGGACAUUCGCUACUAGCUAGGUUAUAGUAGUUGGACUCUUGAUAUGCUAUGGUAUAGUGUUGGACAUUUGGGCUUAGAGUAUGCUUGACAGUAUCCCUUAUUACAUUGUUGUAUUCUUGGUUGCUAUGAUAGUACAUACUAGAUAUAUAGUGGGCUCUAGAAUAUAUAUCACACUUUAUAGCAUUACUUGUUGCAUCAUGAUACAUUGUUUAAGUUUUGGGCAUAUUGGAUCAUGUAGAGUAGAUGUACUCCAUGUUGACAUUCAGAAUACUUGUGGCAUAGUAGAGUAGCACUUUAAUUUCAUGCUUUAAUUACUGUUGAUAUUUCCUGUUAUCUAUACCCGCUUGUUUUGGGCCUUGUGGUGCAAUUUGGUGCAGGUCAGUAAUUGCCCACUGGGAACUAUAAUUUAUAGUUCUCACGCCCCCUGUUUUAUGUUUUCUUUCAGAGCCUUCCACUCCGGGAGAGGCUCGGGAUCGCGGGAAAGGUUUCGCCUCGAGUUAGCUAUCGAGGGACUUGGUGAUAGGUGGCCCACCUCUCUUUUGUUUUCUUUUAGAGAGGUUGUGAGAGUUUGUACCUGGUUAUAGAGACCACCCUAUUUUUGUAUCUUCUGAUUUAUGUUGUAUCAGUUUACCUUAUGCUUUAGUAGUAUGAUUUUCUUUUGAUUCUACCUGAUGUUAGAACCUAGCUAUAUACUUGCUCUGAUAUCUCUAGUUAUAGAUCUUCUGAUGCUUUACUCUUCCGCUUUUGUGUAGACGCCUUAUAUGUGUAGACAUAUGGCGGGUCUGGGCGCACACCGGGCGGGCCUAUGCCGGGUCCCGAGGCGUGACAUCAUCACACCAUUGAACGCGACCAACAGUCGAAAGUUAGGCCUCAAUCCCCUCAUGGAACCCCUGGCCUUAUGGUACUCAUCUCGCACGGCGAAGGGAAUCAGCCCGACGAUACGGCUGAAGUCCCGCUCGUAUUCCGCUACUGUACGGUUGCCCUGCUUGAGACGCUCCAGCUCGCGCUCCAAGCUCUGCUUUGUACUAUCCUUGAAGAACUGCUCAUAGAGGAGUCUCCGAAACUCCUCCCAGGGUGGAUAGAUACUUUCCAGUUUCUUCUCAAAAUGGUGAAUCCACCAUGCAUAAGCAUCACUCUCUAGGAAAUGGGUGGCCAAAGGAACUCGAUCCUGCUCAUCAAUAUGGAGAUCACGGAAUAACUUCUCCAUGUGGGUGGCCCAGUGCUCGAUCACCCAUGCAUCAUCACUCUUCCCAGCGAACUUAGGCGGGUCGAACUUCCUGAACUGGGCCAACUUCGCCCGAAUGCGGGCGCCCUCAGCUGCAUGGGUAUCAGUACCCCCAGAAGGAAGUGUCGUGGCGGCAGCCGUCGUCACCGUAACCGUCGGAGCGGUAGCCGGUGCAGGCGUCACCGGAGGGUCCGCAGUCGUCGGGGCAGGCUGCGUCGGAGGUGGGGCCGGGGGAGCUGAAGCUGCGGUCUGCUACUGCAAGAACUGAUGGAACAUCCCGGAGAGGGCCGUAAGCUGACCCCUCAUCGCUGCUACCUCGGCCUCGAGCUGCUGGGUACGCGCAUGCCCCAGCGGCUCAGGGCCGACCUGCUCCCCGCCACCUCCUCGGCCUCUCCCUGCUGGACUGCGCGACGUCCCUGAACUGGCGCGUCCACUGCCACGCGGUCUACCAUGAGCCAUCUGCAACAGAAAACACCGUCAGUCGAAUAAUCGACUCGACCAACUCCCACCGGGACUCGAGCCCAAACCCCGCACUCAAAGUUGCUAUACACCGUAGGUCCUCCUAAGGUCACCUAACCAAUGGUUCAGUUUCCAUUGAAUUGUUUUUUUCGGAAAACAACCUGUGAGGUGUGUGGUUGUAUUAGAUCUGGCUCUGAUACCACUUAAUCUGUCACCCGGACCGGGUCUUUUUUUUUGUUGGAAAACAGCGGAAAACGACUAAUUCGUUUUUUUUGAACACUAUCUGGACCGCCAGAGUAUGUCAGAUCCACCCAAAUACAGCGGGAAUCCACUGUUCACACGGAACCAGAGUCUCCCCUGUAUUUGCACGGCACGUCCGCACAAGUCAUUAAUAGAACCAGAGUACAACCAGAAUAAACCACAACCAUAUGCAACAUCAACCGUCAAUUCGCAACAUACAGACGUCCAUACAAUUCACCUUCACAACACGACCGGAAUUCAUAAGUUUAAACAUAGAUCCAAAAUCUAUAUUAUAAAACUGUUUCACUACCCGAAACAGUUUUUGAAUACUUAAGUCUCAGAAAUCCUUGGAAGCUCCCUUUUAAGACUGUUCCCCACCGGAACCUGUUAUCUUUAAAAAAUACACAGGGGUAGAAUCAUUGAAAACUGUAUCUGAAUAUGAAAAACCCUUUUCUUUUUAAAACAAGUGCUUACACGAGGGCUUAGAAGACAUUUUACUUAAAAGCCCAUUAAAAUCUCUUUUAUCACAAUACAUAGAGCGCGAAAAACAAUUAUCGUCAGUCGAAUGAAACUGAGACCCAUGAUACAGAAGUUUACUAUUUAUUCAAGCAAGGAAAAGAGUAACAAAACGGGACGGAGCUCUAACGCCGCUUAGACUCGCUCUCACCUGUCCGUCCCUCGGACCUGCGACGUGCACUGUAAUGGGGCGGGGGUGAGAAACAUGCUAAACAUUGUCCCCCUCCCCAGUGGGUACCGCAAGCCGACGAGGGCGAGGGUACCAACCAGCAAAGGAGGGCUAAACAACAGUAAGGGGUAAAAACUACAGUAGCUACUAUUAUUAAGAACAGGAAAGUACACAGUAACGGAACUAAUGUACAGUAAUGAACUAUGCUAUUGGUAUGUAUGCAUCAACGCUGUGGAUAGUCAAGAUACCGAUACGAAUCUAAACCUGCCUUGUUUGGUCCGGAGCCUCAGGCUAAUGCCACAAGCACUCAACCUGCAUAUACCCAGUCGUAACCGUCUGAGCUCCAGGGUGGCUAAAGCCAACCACUUUUUCCGAAAAGAACACCUCCCUCGGUGGAUCAGACCGCUGGUGUCGUGAAAUGCGAAUGCAGUGGUGACAUCGAUGCUGUAUGCUCAUAAGCCAACGUCAGCAUACAGGCCGACAAUCACUAUGGCCUCUGGGCAUUACCGACCGCUAUAGGUAUCAAGACAAUCGGAACGACCGCAGAUAGUCAUAUGUAACGUAAGAGUAACGAACGACCCAAACAGGUCACCGAUGCAACAAGGGAACCGACCAAUCAGUCACAUGUAUAGUACUUACUAAUGCCAUCUUCUCUACCCCUACACACGAAUCUACGCCAGCCGAACCGCGGCCAACAGAUAAAUAAAGAACAGUAUGUGCAAAGGCUCCAAAAUAUAAAGAGUAAGUCAAUAUGACUAUGACGACUGUAAAAGAUUAGGGUUAGAGAAGACAUCACGAGCGUGCACCACUGUACCGACUUCUGAUCGAAGUACCACCUUUGUAUGAAACUGAAACGGUCUUCGCGAAAGUGGAGACGAAGAGACUCCGGACUACUGAAGGGUCCACCGGGUUAGAGUCUAACCCACAAACACAAAUAACACGACCAUGUCUCACACAAAUCCAAAAUUCAUACCCCUCGGAAAUCGGUUCUCAAACUGCACUCCGAACCAGCCGAAGUUCCGGCAAACCGUAACCGGAACUCCACCGUCGCUCACCGUCGUUUCUGAACCCUCGAGACGACAUGGGUGACCAGGCCACAAGGCUCAGCCGACGAACAAUCAACACGAGGCCCGAUCGGAUGAAUUCCGAGUCGAACACGACGUUGGCCAGCGCCGGGGAGGGGGGGUUCUUCGGCGAUCGCCAAAAAGCUCCGGAAUGACAGUUAGGUUCGCUCACGGGCUUGGGGCCUGACGUCAGGUCAGAGGUUAUCUUUAAGCCUUAACUGCUGCCACAGUAGCCAGCGACGAAGCGAAACGCAAAAGGAUCCCUUAAUGGCCUGAAAUCACAUGUAUUUUAUGUGAUUUCAUGGCUCUAACGAGUCGUACCAGCAAACCGGGCGAUCUACGGAGAUUGCCAUCGCUACUUGCUGCAACGGUUUCAGCACGGCCUGAGGCGUGCUCACCCUUUCGGAGCACGCUGCCGCAGCAAACCACCGCGCGCAACGAGGACGCGAACCUCAGCGAAACAGUGCGCACACUGUCGAAAACAGCCUUUUCUUACUAACCAGCGGCGUCAUUGGCUAACAUGGAGGUGAGCGUCGUGCUCUCAGACUGAGCCACGAUCCCGUGUCCCUUCCCGAGGUGCCAGGGGGUAAUCAAUCGAAUCACCGAAAGGUGGCCGUAACGCAAAACAGCAGUGCUGGAACCAAAUAAAACUACUCACCGGAGCUGUUGGGAGCUAGGGAUGCUCGCCGACGAUCUGACCGCGGGCACUCCGGCGGUGAUGCGGAGCAAGCAGGUUCGGGGAGGUCCGGGGGAGUGCUGGCCGCGGCAGGCAGGCAGCCGGUUUGGCGCGGCGGCUGGAACGAUCGGGCCGCACACUUCCCUCUCCGGGUUGGAGCUUGCGCGGCGAGCGCGUGCCGGGUUUUGAGGCUCGACGGCGGCGGAUGACCGGUGCGGAGACCGAGAGGAGUGGCUGCUCGGGCUAACAGGCCUCUCUCCAAGCCACAAGGCUUAACGCGGUGGUGAGGUGCGUCCAGGAGAGGAGGAAGUUGGCUACAGGCUGUUUUCGGCGGCCGGGGCUGCUCGGCGGCGGCCGGAACGUGAGCACGGGCAGGGCAGGGAGGUGCUGGGGUGACAGGGGCGGCUGGGGUCAGCUGGGGGGGGUUCUAGGGUUAGGGUUAGCUCAAGAAACCCUAGGUCAACCUAUAUAUAGGUGCUGCGACUUUGCGGAAAACCCCCUUCAAGGCUGAACGGUUUAAACCCAGCUCCCUGCUAGCGAGUGCUUUAUACACAACAGUCCCUCCGAGUUCGAAAACUCGCAAAUCGACGCAUAAAUUAUCCGGUCAUUUCGCGAAUAAUCCGAUUACUCAAAUCAGCCCCUUCGCGGACUUUUCGCGAUUCCCGGAGAUCCGUCCGUCGGAUUUCCGAUCGGAUCGCACCAGCGCGAUCAGCACGACAGAGGCAUCGGAUCUAGCAUUUCAUUUCGCCCGAAAAGGUUUCCGAUUUGCGACAAAACCAUCCCUCCAAGGUUCCACCAAAACCCACAUAUAGACGACUAUAUGCAAAAACCAUUAAACCCCUUUUUCUCAAAAUCCGUGCAUCCAAAUCCAAUUCCGUCAGUGCCAUUGGGUCCAAGAUAGUCGAGCGGUUGAAAAUGAGCUAUUGGAAGGCUAUAUUUGGAGUCCGAUACGCGUCGAAAGUCCACUCUACUCCGCGGCCUCUCCGAAAAAUCGGAGUUACUAUUCACUUAAGUCAAACUUCCGGGUCGCGUAACUUCUCCGUUUUAACUCGUUUUCUCCUGAAAUUUGACGAGUACACUUAUAAUUAUAUUACACACAAGAACAUCGUCAAACAAAAGGGUUUAAUCAAUAAAUCAAAAAUCUCAGUUAUUACAAUCGGGGGAGCGACACUACUCCGCGAUGGCCAAGGCUAGCGCUAGGGUUUCUCGAAGGGACCGGAGGAGCUCGGAGGCGAGGGGGUUCGUGGCGAGGUUAUAGAGGUCGCCGACGGCGAAGGAGAGACGGGAGGCGGCUGCGGCGACGCCACACCACCGACCACGAAAGCAUCGCGUGGUGUCGGCGGUGGAAAAUAUGGCGGAGAGGAGGAGGCGAAGGUCAGCGUCGGCGUCUUCCUCCGCGACCGCGGCUCCUCCUUCUCUAUCGCGAUCGCCCGCUGUAUCUCCUCCCUCGCUGGCGACGAUGAAGAGGGAAAAGGAAUAGGGAAAGGAAGAAGAAGGGGGUAAAAUUAUCAAUUCACCUUAUUAAUUAACCAUGGUUAAGUAUUUUAACUGUGGUUAACGAAAUUUCUCUAACGGAAACUAACGGUAUGGACACAUCUGAAUACAUUAGGACUUUUGUAGGGAUAACUUAUGAAAGUUGAGUUUUGCAGGGAUAUAUCUGCAAUUCACCAUUUUUGCAAGGACGUCUGUGCAAUUAACCGUUUUAUAUUUGUAACUUAAGAUUUGAUUUAAAAUUUAAAAUUUAAAAGUUACAAAUUUAAAUUUUUAAAUUUGAGAUUUAAAAUAUAGAUUUUAAUUUUAAAUUUUAAAUUUUAAAUUUUAAAUUUUAAAUUUUUAUUUUUAAUUAUCUAAAUAUUAAAUGUGACAUUUUAUAUUUGUAAUUUUAUAUUUGUUAGAUUUGAUUUAAAAUCUAAAAUUAAAAUUUAUAACUUUAAAUUGUUAUAUUUGAAAUUUAAAAAUAUAGAUUUUAAUUUUGAAUUUUUUAAUUGUAAAAUUUAUCUAUUUAAAUUUAAAAUUUUAAAUAUAAAAUAAUAAAUUCAAAUUCAAAUAUAAUAAUUAGAGCAAUAUCAUUAUUUUUUAUUUAUAACUACCACGUUUCUUCUUAUUCCAUCUUAUCUAUCAAACGUUACUUUUCUUAAUCUGGGAAACAACUCAAUUAUUAUCCAAACGCAAAAUUAGUCUAUUCCAGGCUUAACCCUGAACUUAACCAUAUCCCUGGAAUAACUAGUUCUUACUUAACCUCGAAUCAAACGAACCCUUAGGGUUGAGUGGUCUCCCUAAGGUUGGGUGGUCCUUACUAGAUUAUAAUAUCUAAUGCAAUGAUUAGAAAUGAUGAAACUAAUUGAUCAAAAAGCUAAAACCUCGGUAGCAAAAAGUGUCUUUUACUAUCAACAGUAUUCUAGCCUACUAUAUAUAUAUAUAUAUAUAUAUAGAGAGAGAGAGAGAGAGAGAGUUAGGCUGGAAUACUCUUGUAACGCACUGAACCUUUGCAAAUUGCAAGGUUCGAGUGAUUGAUUGUGUUCUGAGCUUUUUCAGACUUUCUGGUGGGUCGUUGACAGUGUUCCGACCUAUGGUUCGAGUCCCGAGAAUUGUGGUUUAAAGCUGUCAUGCCCCGGGACCGGCAGAGGCCCUCCCGGUAGCGUGCCCAGACCCGCCAUAUGUCUACACAUAUAAGGCGUCUACAGUAAAAGCGGAAGUAAAGCAAGAAAUAGAACAAAUACAAAGAAGUAGAAUAACUAGCAACUAAUGAUAUCAGAGCAAGUAAAGUUUUAUCAUCUACACCAAGGUAAUGAAACAAGGCUAAGAUCCAAAUAUAUCCAUAAAGUAGUACAAAUCUAACUCCCAAAAAGAAAUACAAAGAUCUAAAAGGAGGUGGUCUCUAUACAUAAACGGGUACAACGCUCAACCUCUCACAAAAUAAAACCACGAGAGGUAGACCACCUAUCGAAUCGCCCUCGAAGGAAGCUAGCUCGAAGCAACUCCCUUCCCGCGGUCCCUAGCCUCUCCCGGCGCGGAAGGCUCUGAAAGAAAACACAAAACAGAGAGCGUGAGAACUAUAAUUUAUAGUUCCCAGUGGGCAAUUACUGACCUCAGCUCAAUGCACCACUAGGCCCCAAAAGAAAAGGGUAAGUACUAUAAGCAAUAAUAAGAGUAAUAGCAACAACAGUACGAAAGCAUAAUUGAAGUGCUAAACCACUAUAUCUCAAGUAAACAUGAUAAACAAGUAAUCCUCACAAUGCAAUAUGUUAAUGCAUAAAGAGUAAGCUCUAACCAAGCAACCGAGUAUACUACAAUGCAACAAUGAAACCGGCAAGUAUGCUGUAUGUACCAAUGCUAUAUCAUGAGCAUGUCAAAGUAAUCCAACCACUAAACCUAACUAGUAAGUCUUGUGCCCCUUUGUGACACUUCGACAUUUUAAUGAGCAAGUAUAUCCAACUCUUUCAAUGGCACUAUCCACUAGUUUUACACAUGACCCGAGUUCAAUGCCCCUUCAUGACAUUAGCCCAAUUAUUCACGAAUAACACAAGUUCCCGAGCCUCUUUUUGGCUUACCAAGAACCUUUAAGUUCCAUAUUGGACUAACCUUAAAUGCAUGCAAAAGGUACUCAUCUUCACAAUAGAAGUUACGAUUCCAAGUCUAAAAAGGAUGCCAAAUAUAUGCGAGUACCACAUGCUAGUUCUCUACUAUAUAGAGGUCCGAAAUUUUCUUACACAUAACAUAGGCAUAUGAAGCAUCCUAAAAUUCACAAUAAAUAUAUCUAACAUGAUUAUGCAUGCUUUUUCAAUUUACGAAACAUAUUUCACCAUAUAUGAGUAUUUCUCAUAUAAAGGCUAGGUCAAACCCACCGAACCGUCGCGUAGGGCUUCGAUUUGCCGAACAAAGUUGCUCCCGAGUCUCAAAAUGCCCUAGAAGUGAUCAGCGAAGAGAUACGAGAGCAUUACGACCAACCAAGAGAUCAAACAUUAACCUAGGAGCAAAAAGGGCCAAAGCUCACCUCAAGAGUAAAAAUCCUCUCUUAAGCUCCGAAUGAGGGCUAGGAUCCUUCAAAUCCAAGCCUUAGGAAGGUUCUAAUCCAAUUAAUUUAGCCUCAAAAGCCCUAGAUCAAAAAGCCCCAAAAAUCAACCCUAAUAUCCAAUCUAGGGUUCCAACUCACAAACUUAGCAAAACAUGGAUUAAAAGCUCAAAUCAUGUUGCUAACCUCUCAAGAAGACUCCAAACAAGCUCCAAAUCUUCUAGGGUUGAAGAUUGGUCCACCACCAAGCUCCACAAGCAAGCUCCAAGCCUUGCAAGAGUGGAAAGGAGAGAAAGGGGUUGAGCUCCAAGCUCCCUCAAACAAGCUCCUCUUCUUCUUCUCCUUCUUCUUCUUCUUCUCCUUCUUCUUCUUCUCUCUCUAGAAGGUGUAGGGUGGUGAGAAAUGAGGAGGGAAGAGAGUGAAAUGGCUAAUAAGCCCAUCUAGUGUAACAAAAUCCCAAGAGGCCCCUCAAAAACCCAAUAUUACAUCAGCCCGAACUGGGCAGUUUUCGCCCAGAGGGACCGGUCUCUCCCCAGCAGGGACCGGUCUCUCGCUGCGAACCCGAAAAACCAUCGUUCGGGAACCGGUCUCUCCCUGUGCAGGACCGGUCUCUCUCUGCGAAGGCGCGCUCGGGGACCGGUCCCGCCCGCCAGGGACCGGUUGCCUCAGGGCUACCGUAACACUGCUCAUUGGAGGACCGGUCUCUCCUUCCAGGGACCGGUCCCCGUGAGUGAAAACUCUCAGGACCAAACCAAAACUCAGGUUUUCGAACUUUUUAGGUCGGAAAACAUUCUACAACCCUCCACCAAGUGUGGAAAAGCUCGAAAUACACCCAAACACUCGAACCUCGCAAUUUGCAAAGGUCCAGUGUGUUACAUUCACCCCUCCUAGAAAGAGUUUCGUCCGCGAAACUCAAAAGGACAAAGUACCUCAAGCCUCCAUCUGAAAAAGAUAGGAAUAGCGCUCUCGCAGUGCGCUCUCUAACUCCCAAGUGGCCUCGCGCUCGUCGUGGUUGCUCCAAAGCACCGUCACGUAAGGAAUUUCUCGGUUCCGCAAUCUUUUCACCUCGCGAGCCAAAAUUCUCGAGGGUUGCUCCUCAAAGCUCAAAUCCUCCCGCAGCUCCAUAGGCGUAGCAUCCAACACAUGAGCCGGGUCGUGGAUGUACUUCCGAAGGACCGAUACAUGGAACACAUUGUGUACACCCGAUAGGUUUGGCGGUAGAGCGAGUCGAUAUGCCACCGGGCCUACACGUGCCAAAACCUCAAACGGUCCAAUGAAUCGGGGGCUCAACUUGCCCCGGAUUCCAAAUCUUCGAAUACCUUUGGUCGGCGAGACUUUCAAGAACACAUGGUCUCCAAUCUGAAACUCCAAGUCUCGUCGACGCCGAUCAGCAUAACUCCUCUGCCUACUCUGGGNAAUACAAGUAAACUACAACUAUUUCAUUUUUUUUUUCAUUCACUCACAAAUUCUUUUACAUGCUUGUCAUUCUCCCAAAAUACAUGAUUGUUUACAACUUUACAAUUCUAAAUCAACAAAAGAAAGUUGAUACAUGAACCAAAAAGGGAAUGACUAAAAUGCAUAACUUCGGUGGCCACUAGCUAUGGCGCGAUACCCUUGCCUCGAUCCUCCACCGCCCCGCUCACGCUCGGAUCUGUAGGGUUAGUGGUGUGAGAACUACAAAGAAAUUCCCAGUGGGUUCGGUAACCGAUCUUGACUUACCCACUAGGUCUAUUUAGGCAUAAGUAUUUCAAAGGAAAGGAAAAGUAGCCAACACUAAUGCUAAUACUAUACCUGUAAGAAAGCUGUCAGUGAAUAUAUAUAAUCAAAUAUGAAUGAUUAUGCAUGCAUGCUCUUUUCAUAAGUAUACUUUGACUUUUACCCAAUCUUACCGGUUAACCUUGUUAACUCCAAUAACUCGCAACCUAAAAUCCCUUUUGUUCGAGGAGGCUCUAAGCACUACAAGACCCGAGGAACCGUCUUCAGAGACCGCGCUCCCCGUGGUGACAAUUUUCGGAACGCACCGCUUUAGGGGGAGCUACCACCCUCAAAUCAAGACUUAUCGUGAGUAUCGAUCCAAUUCCCACGUAGGGAAUGUAUAGCCACUAGCGACAAUGCCACUAUUAUAAUAGGUUUUUACCUAUUUGUUCUUAUCACUUUCUAAGUCAUUCUUGUCACAAUGCCACUAAUUGUUAAACCUUGUUUAACGAUUCAUGUUUCGAUGCCGAUCAUGUCUCUAAUGUCAAUGUCACCUUUAUUUACUAUUGUCUUGGUCCAAGUCUCACAUUCAUACAAUCUUUAGGGUUCUACCAUACAUAUCCAUUAUGGUUCUGUCAUUCUCUAUGUGCAACUACAUUAGAAGCAUAUAAAUGAUGUCUAACCAAAUUUCACAUGUAAAAUUAUCCUAUCAUGCAUGAAUGAUUCUAUAUACAAGUAUGCUCAACAAAGGUGAAAAUAGACAUAAACGAGAAUCCGAUGAUUCCGGCGUGCACCCUCCACCUUGAAUAUUGUAGUAGAGUUGUAGUUCAACUCUCGCGAUUUUAGGACACCUAUCCCGCGAUCUAAACCAAAAAAUAAAGCCAAAUUAGGCUCUAUAUACAAGAUCUCUUACUUAAGCUUUUCGUAACGUCAAACGGAAUUGUCCCACCCAUCGGGAAUACCUCUAAUUAGAUUUCCAAGCGGUCAAUUUAUCUCGUAAACAACAGGAGGCAAAAGCCCCAAAAUCCAUGCCCUAAUAAUGCCAUAAUGGGAUUUUUCCUAGAUUAAUCUCAUCUCUAAGCAAAAGCUAGCUUAGAAUUAACUAGGAAGCAUUCUAAUACCAUUUCCAAGCCUUUCCAUCCCUAGGGUAUCUACUAUGAACCAUAGUUAACCACCAUUAGAGCACAUAGAGCUUCCACGGAUUUUCAUGGAGCUCAUGUCUCAACAAUGUUUCUAACCUUGUAAGAAACUCAAAACUUCAAAACUUAGGGUAAAAAUCCAAACCCUAGAUGUGUUCUUGCAUAAAACUUACUUUAGCCUUAAGCUCCUCCAAGUCCUUGUUGGUGAGCUUCUAGAGCCUUCAAAACCCUCAAAAAUCCUUCUCCAAGCCUUAUUCUCUUUCUCCUUUACCUUGGUGCAAGGCUUCUAGAGAGAGAGAUGGAGAGAAAAUGAGAGGGAGAGAGUUCUCCUUGCUGCUGUAAGCAAAAGGGAGAGAUGGGGUAUUUUAUAGGUUGCAACAAUAGCAACCAGGUCCCCCAAAAAUUCUUAUUUACAGCAGACCAAUUUGGUACUGUCAGACUAAACUGUACUGGUACACGGGUUUUUGUACCGGUACAAAGCUGCGCAGAGGCAAAUCAGAGAGCAGCCUCCACGGAUUUUACCAAAGUGUACCGGUACAAACCAGGGGUGUACCGGUACACUUCCGUGAAAUAACUCAAACCCGAGAGCAACUAUCUCUUGGUUUGCUGGCCUGUACCAGUUACAACUCGAUGGUUGUACCGGUACAUUUUGCCCAGAAUGUAGUUUUAGCUCCUAUUCAACUCUACUUUGCACCGGUCGAUGCUAAAACCUUCCUAACUCUUUCUAAACUUACUUUUAGCUCUUCCAACAUUGUUGGAAUGCUAGACGGAACUUGUCCAACUAUUUCUCUCGACAACUUUAACUAAUUUGGGUAAAGUUCGAUAUUCGCUUUCGGAUUUCAAUAUGUUACAACCACAUCAAGGAGAGCAGAGAGAGGGAGGGAAGAGAGAGAGAGAGAGAGAGAGACAAAGCUUGAAAGGGCUUUGAGUAAAGAAGUGGAAUUUGAAGUUGGAUUUUGAUGAGCACCAUAAAAAUUAAAAGGAAGAUAGAGAUGGAGAUUGAAAGGAUGGUCUCUUCUACCGAAGAGAUGUGAGAGGAAUAGACACGAUCUCUUUCUUUUACACUAUAGGUUACAUCUUCAAUGAAUAGAGAGAUGAAUAAUAAAGUAAGUAGGCCCCACAAUCAAAACUUAAGGUAAUCUUGAUACGUGGACAUAAUUAUAAGAAUUCAUUAUAAUUUAUAGAUUUAUAGAUUAUAGAUUAUAGAUUUCUAAGAUACCACAUUACGACCAUAUUAGUGAAGUAUUAAUAUUUAGUCAACUUAAUUAAACAGGCAAAUUUAAUUGCACUAGUUUACAAAAAUUAAAUAAAAAAUUAUAAUAAAUUAAAGUUUAAGAACCAAAUAGUCGUGGUCCUUAAAAUUUCAGAGCCAAAAAUGCAAUUCAGCCAAAAAAAAAAAAAAAAAAAAAAAAAAAAAAAAAAAAAAAAAAAAAAAAAAAAAAAAAAAAAAAAAAAAAAAAAAAAAAAAAAAAAAAAAAAAAAAAAAAAAAAAAAAAAAAAAAAAAAAAAAAAAAAAAAAAAAAAACAUUG